rnacentral:lncRNA from 1 species
ACAAAGAACCUUUCUUCAAGAAGCAAUGUAUACAUUUAUUUUUUAAAAAAAAACCUAAACAUAGCAAAGAAUGAUAGAUGGUUGAAAUAGGCAAAGUAGAUUAUGUACCUUUCACUUGUUACUUUGGCUAUUAUCUAUGAGGAGAGAGAAGGGGAGAAGAGAGAGGGAUCUUACAAAUAUUUGACAAUAUCUUUCUAUACUAAAAAAAUAUUAUAUAUAUAUAAAUAUAUAUAUAUAUAUAUAUAUAUAUAUAUAUAUAUAAUACUUAUUUACCACUUAAAAAAUUUGAAAAACAUUCUAAUACAUGCAAAAUAUUUUAAUACAAAGUGUAAAAUAAAAAUAAAAUGAGUAAACCUCAUUCAAUACAUUUUAAUAUUUCUAAUUUAUUUUUAAAAAUUAUUCUUCUUUAUGAUUGUAAAAAAAUGACAUGAAUAAUAAAAAAUAAAAAAAUAAAAAAAUAAAAUUGAUAUAAAUUUAAGUUUAAAAAAUGAUUGUUAUAUAAAUAUUUAUAAUAUAAAAUCAUGAUAUGCUCUAAAAAUUAUGCUAAUUAAUGCUUAUAAGAAGGCAAGACAAGUAGCACCUUAAUCUUGUUAAUACAAGUUUUGGAAUAAUUAUAGUAUUUUCUUGUUUCUAAUUUUACAUCUAGUUUUUUUUCUAAUGUAACCUAACAUCUUGUUCUUUAUGUAUUUUCUUUGCAUAAUAAUUCCUUUUGGUAUCCUUAACAUACAUAUUAAAAUAUUAAUUUUGUAUUAAGACAUAUAAAAAUAAAACAACAUAAUUUAAAAUAAUCACUAAACUAUGAAAUUAUUUUAUGAAGUCAUAUACUUUUUUUGAUAUACUAAAUAUAAUGGCUAUAAUUUUUUAAUAUUUACUUGCUUUAAAUGAAAGUAAAUCACAAAGUUUUUAAUUGAUAUAAUUAUUUAUUUUAAAUAAUUGAAUUUAAAAUAAAACAUAUCACUUAUUAAAAUUUGAUCAAUUAUUACUAUGAUAAUUGAAUAUUUAAAGUUCCUUUAAGUUUUAAAUAUCAGAUUUAUCUGAAACGUGAUAUUUUGAUUUAAAUAUUCUUGUCUUUUGAACUCUGGCAACUGACCGGGUAAAAAUCGCUCCGUGGUCGGUGUAUUUAGGCCGAUAUGGCAGGGUAUGUUGACCUAUGUAUCAAAUGCCGCCAGUUGUACCAUGACUGCCGCAAGGUGACGCCCAGAGACGCUGGCGCUAGUCAAUUGGACUCACCGCAACGGGGUUGCUAGCAGCUUUGUACCAAGACAAGCAUCAAAGCGAAGAAGGGUUUUAGGGGGUGAAAUUUUACCAAAAUUUUGUAUCUUAGAUCCACUUCUACCUGCGUGCUGCACGAAUCAAUCGCAAGGUUGCACAGCUUGUGCAAUAUCGGAGAGGAGCGUGUGCCUUGGGGUUGAGGAAUAGAAUUUUGUGAGGUGAUUGAGAAGAGUGAGAGAUAUGGCGCCGGCGUUGAUCAACGCUAACCCGAUUGUCCAUGAGAAGAAGAAGAGGACGUCUAAGCCACAGGCGAAUUAUAACGACGCUAUACCUGACGUGAUCGACGAGUUAGAAAUUUUUGAUAUCCUUUUUCAUUUGCUUUCAUCAGUGUUAAUUGAUGGGAUUUGUAUCAUUUGUGGUUUUAGGUCUCUGAAGGCAGCCAUCAUUGUUGUGGGUUUGUUCAGAAGUUUUGUGUAGAGUGCUAGGCAGAGGAAUGGAGAGUGGUUGGGAAAAAAAACAGUGUGUCUUGUAAUUUAGUCGAGCGUUGGACGUGCUUGUUUUCGGGGAAUUUGAACCGCAUAAAAUUGCCAUAUCUUGGGUCUCAGGUGUACAGUUGGGCAGGAUCAAUUAUGCAGUGGUUUGUUUGGAAAAGGCGACGAAUUGAAUUAUUCUCAACAAUUGCCGUGUCUGAUAUUUUAUUGAUACAUCUAAUUUUUUGUAGUUUAUGAUCAAGCAGACGUCUUUUAACUCUCUGCCUUGCUUAACCAGUAGCAAAAUUGAAUCAGCUUCCAUAAUGAUAAAAUUCUUUCAUAUAGCCAGUAUGCCUUAAAAUGUGGUGGUUCUGUUAACCUUGACUCCUAUCUGCACAUCAUGUGAGAGACAUAACGGAUCCUGAGCAUCCCUACUCCCUCGAGCAGCUAAACGUGGUGACAGAGGAUUCUAUUUUUGUGGAUGAUGCGAAAAAUUAUGUCAAGUAAAUGGCCUCAUGCAUUUUUUUGAAGUUUGAUUGGUUUUCAAAGCAAUUAUAUCUGGUGUUUCAUUUUUCAACCUUGUACAAAUGAUCAUAUUUAUGCAUAAAGCUGAUUUCUCCUUCUGUAAUUCUGUAGUUCUGGUUUGUUGGUGCCUUUGUUGCGCUUGUGAAGUGAAAUGGCUUCGUAAAGUUAAGUGGCUUUAUUUGGCGUCAAAUUUUUGGUGGUUGAGCAGGAUUACUUUCACGCCCACGGUGCAACACUGCAGCAUGGCUACUAUUAUUGGUCUCUCCUUGCGGUUGAAGCUUUUGCGUUGCCUUCCGCCACGCUUCAAGGUUUUUGUUCACACCCGAACUCAAUUGUACAACUAUUGUGUUGCAAAUCUCGUGUUGCAUAAGUCCUGCACGUUUUAUUAGUAAUUUUCACUGCUCAUUCUUGAUGUACCAAGUGUUGAUUUCCUUUCAUCUAUCAGCUGUUGCAGCUGUAAGACUGAUCACGUGUCAUUUAAUAUUCCGCAUUGAGUCUUAUUCUAUGCAAGUUUACUUAUUCGACGGUUUGGUAAAAUAGGUGGAUAUUUUUCUCGCUCCGGGCUCUCAUUCUACUGAAGCCGCAAGUAAGUUCCAUCUGGCUUUACACGGGACGUUGUUGGAAAAGCUAUUUAUGUUUCGAAUCAUAGGGUUUUGUCUUUUAUUAAAUUUAUUUUUUCAUUCUGAUUCAAAAUUUUGAUUUGGACGCUGCAGUUAACAAGCAGCUAAAUGACAAGGAGAGGGUGGCAGCUGCUUUUGAAAACCCAAAUCUCGUUGAUCUCGUGGAAAAAUGCUUGGUCUCAACCGAAGAGUAGUUCUGGACCAUCCCCGGCAAUUAAUGUCUUGAGAUGCAAAGUAGCAUUAGCGUUUUAUUCUGCUUUUAGUAAUCGUUUUCAGUGUGCAUCUGGGCUCGUGGUAUUCGGAUGCUCUAGAUUUUGCAUGUCAUUUGCACAUCAUGUAAAAUACUUGAUAGUGAUCUCGCCUUUCAGAGGUUGCUUGUGGAUAGUGUUAACUUCCCCCGGGGCAUUUUUGAUAGUGCAAGGAAAGACUUAAAGCGAUUGAUGGUUUCCGAAAGCCAGCAUGGUUGAGGGGACGGAGUAGCUUGCUAUCAGUUGUUCUCGACAGGAGCCUUUCCUUGUUUUGGGGAAUGUUUACAAUGUUCUAGAAAUUGAGGUAUCGCUCCAUUGGCAUGAAAAGGCCAUUGUUUUGUUCUUUAUAUCCUCGACACUCUUUGUGACAGAUAACUUGUAAAUUCCCUUUCGAGACGAAGUGUAUUCCUUGUAAUGCGUGCUUCAACGUAUCUGUUUUUGGUUCAACGUAGCAUGUCGUUCUUUUAUUUUGGAGAAGCAACAUUUAUGUGGAAGUUUUUAGUUGGAGAAUGGGGGAAAAUCGCCUUCUGUUAUCGGUACUCUUCCAGUAUGGACCUUCACCACAUGGGCAGUGAUUCCCAACUGCUGGUGAUGUAAAAAAUGAGUGGACAUGUAACUAUCUGGACUUGAGCGUGAUGGCAUCAGCCGAAGUCCCGGGUGUCUUGAGAGCUCGUGGGGGUCUCAUGAGCGGUCCAAAUCAGAUGAAAACCCGGGCAUCGCUCCCCAAACCUUGUGUGGCCAUCGCUCUUCUAGUAGGUCAUGCAAGAGUUCAUGACCACAGGACCUUUGGGUGUGAAAGGGAGCAGGGAUUCUUGAUUUAUGUUCACGGGUAUCAAGGUCAUGUGUUCUCCAAGGAUGUAAAUGCGAACAGGUGCAUCUGAUGAUCGUUGUCCAACCUCUGUAGGGAGCGUCACUGCUCAACGUUCGCCUUUGGGAUUGUGGUUCCGGAUUUCAGAUGGUUACACUUCUAUGUUUGUAGAGAGGAUUUAACAUCAUGUUUCAAACUUCUCAGCAAAUCCAUGCACUUUCGUCAUCGAAGUUAUCCAUUAUACGAACCGUUUCAUCAACCAAUCGUUAGUCUGUUCUCUUAAACCGUUCCAACAAGCAUGGACAUUUGCCAGGAAGGUAGACGACCGCACACAACCUCCAGCCUCGGUUGAGAUCUUGUAAUACAGUUGAGUUUACAAGGUCCGUUGAAGUGGGUGAAUGCGCAGCUGGCUUUGGGUUAGUUAUUAUCCGCGUUGUGCUUCCCCUCUUCAUCAUCCUGUUCUUCACAUCUUUACCUGGAACCCACAGUUGCGAUUUUUCGCCAUCGGGGAUAUGAUGCCCUGAAAUAUUAUUUUAGUCUGUUUUUGGCAAUCUUUCGGUCUUCGAAACUAUACACGAUCCAACCACUUUGGCGAAUCUUUUGUUGUUAAGCCUGCUUCUUCAAAGCCCUUUGAGGCAACAUAUCUGAAAAGGAGAGAGAAAGUGGGUAGAAAGGUAGCUGUGUUAGCAUUUCCGGUGAUACAUUUCGAGGUGAUGGGUAUCUUCAGGUUAGCCACCCCGUUUUAAUGCAUCGUAACAGCGUUGGAAGGAUGUCAUAAACCGGGCAUUUGAGCAAAGCAUAUGUUUCACAAAUCUAUCAGUAGGCCAGCUGCAGCCGUUAUUAUGCUGAUAUUCGGUUUCGAGUUUGACAGACGUGUCGAGAGAGAUAUUAUCUCAGUCGUUCGGUUGCCUUUGGAUAUAGUUUAGCUCUGCAUCCAUCAGCACAUUUUCUUAAGGCAUUGCACUGGCUGCAGACAGAAGCAGGCCUUGCCAAGGUCGGAGACAGCCAUGCUGGCUGCCGCAGAUCUAGGUCCAAUUCACCUUAACCUGGAUAAUUACCGGCUCACUUUUGAAGAUUGUUCGUGGACUCCAGGUGCACGCCAGUUAAUCCUCGUGAGACUAACUUUGCUUUAACACGUUCUGGUUCUUUUGAAGCCUGCGUGCUUUUAUUCUGUAUACAAAAAUAUUCAUUCUGCUUCUUAAACCUCGUAAAUCUGGAGAGUGAGUGCACCGACUCACAUACAGCACAAAAAUUGUUAAAAUCGGUCCCUCAAGUUUUGGUUUGUAAUGCCCAUCACCUAUUUGGAGCAUACACCAUCUUUCCCCAAUUAUUUGUGUUUGCAAUGUGUCAGAGUACGAUGCCCCAGAAAUGCCAGAGGGCGUUGGUUCCGUAGAAGAAGAGAUUUGCAAGCUUCGAAGAGAGAAGCGAAGGAUGGUACACAAUCAACCAACCAAUCAAUCAAUCACAAAGCUCCAGUGGCGAUCCUACACUGGUAUGGAAGUUACUUAAGCAACUGUAAAUGCAUAACACAAUCCAUCUGUUGUGGUGAACCUGCGUAAACAGAAGAAGGAUCUCGACAAAUUCAUGGCGCAAGCGAAGGAGAUGAAGGAUUUGAAGGAGAAGUGGAACUUGCUAGAUUUCAAAUACCAACUUCUGCUCGACAUGGUACAGAUUACUUCAAGAACAAACCUACCCAUCCAACAUAUAAACCCUGUUCGCAACAUUGGGGGAUAAUUUUGGAAAAAUACGUUGAAAUCCUACCGAAUGUUGUCUUGUGAACGCAGUGGACCAUGAGGGCAUUGGAUGAGAAGGAGGAGUGUGAAGGAAGCUAUAGAAGAAGACCCCACUCCACAGGCGGCAUGUCACUCAGCCGAGAAGGCUCCCCGAAACGAUGUUCCCCAAAACGGAGCUCCCCGAAACGCAGCGGGCGGUAUGAGAUCACUCCUCCUUCGAGGAGGAACCGCCAUCCCUGUUGCAACGACGAUCCCUCGCCUUCCAAACGAAGCGAGCGAUGCCAUUAAGCAAAGCAAGUUUUGCCGCGGGAAUGCAGCCAGUCUUGUGGCUGCUAGAGAGUCGGUUCUGUAUGUGUGUCGGUGCCGGCGUCUCGUCUGCCUCCAGACAUGAUCAUCUGGUAACAAACAGGAGAGUGUCGCGUUGACACUAACCAUCAACUCUGUUUUUAUUUUUUGUAAUUUUAAUGUUUGGGAGUCUUUGUAUGAUCGAGAUGACAGAUUAGAAUGAAAUCUCUAAAACAUAUAUUUGGAUCUGUGAUGUCCAUUGAUUGAUUGAUUGAUAUAUAUAUAUAUAUAUGUAUAUGUAUAUAUAUAUAUACACACAUAUGUACAUGAAAGGAUAUAGCCAAGUAUAUUAGUUGAAGGCAAAAUAAUAAUAAUGAUUGGAACACAGGUAUGCAGAUAUAUGUAUUUUUCUAAAAUUAAGGUUUUGGACUUUUCUUUUUAUAUCAUUCACUUUGAAUUUCAUUGCAACAUCUUAGAAUGGUUUUAUUAUUUUUAUGAUAAAAACUAUCUUAUUAACAUUGUUUAGACUUUACAUGCAAGAUUUUAUGAUCUUAGUAAUAACAUAUGUAUCUAUAGAUAUAUAGAUUAUAGACAUUCAUAUAUAUUUGCAUAUGUUAUUGUUGGAAUGGAUUACAAAUGAGCAUAUAUAGAAUACAUGCAAUCUAACAAAAAAGAUACAUAAUGUAAGUGGUUCACCUUAGAGUUGAAACUAUGACCAGUAGAGAAUACAUGAAUGAAUUUGAUUUCACUAAAGAAUAUGCUCAUUGUGCAGCAAAGUGAUGUUUGUAUGAGGUUUGAAUGAAAUCUUUAAAAAACCAUCACUAACUUUAGUGCCUUUACUAAGCUAGUUCUAAAUUAGACUUAGAUCAAUGCACAAAGGUGAUGCCCUUGCAUCCUUGCCAAGUACUAUUAUUGUUUUUUUUUCAAUCCAAGCUCUUGACUGAAAUUUAGAAUCUAAUACUUCAAGGUGAGCACCUCUUCUUGUCAACCUUCACCAAUGGAGACCGCUCACUUCUCCUUAUCUUUGCAUUUUCAAAAAACCAUUAACACCACCAUCUUUAUGCACUUCAACAUAACAUUCUUCAAAAACUUGUCCAACCUCAUUGAGAAGCUCUUUAUCAUAGCUCAACCUCUAUUAUUCUUCACUAUCACCCAUUGUUGCUUCUGCAUAGGCACCACCAAAACAUAUCACCUCAUCUUCACAUGCCCAAUGGUGGCCCAUUGUCCAACCAUUGUUGCCAUACUCUUUGUCGCAUCUUUGCUCCAAAUGACAAACUUCAAUGCUACAUAGUAAAUAUGCUUUGGUACUAAUUGUUAGAACUAAUCACAAAUGUGCAUAUAAAAGAAUAGAUGCAAUUGAGUAAAAAAAAUAUAGAAUAUAAAUGAUUUCUUUUAGAGCUAAAGCUAUGUCCACUAGAGAAUAUAUACAAGAAUUUUAUUUCAUUAGAUAAUACACUUAUUGUACAAUAUAAUGAUGUCUAUACGAGAUCUAGGCAAAAUUCUAAAAAAAAAUAUUCCUAAUUCUAGUAUCUUUAUUAAAUUAGCUCUUAAUUGGAUGUGGAUCAAUUUAUAAAGGUUCUACCUUUGCACCAUUGCUAAAAAAAGGGGCUAAAAACAAAUCCUUCCAACCUCUCUCUCCCCUCGUUUUUUAGAACUACCAUGAAGGUUAUUAGAAAUUGAUGGACAAAGUCCACUAAUAGAACUCAUAGUGACAUAAUACAAGACACAUAUUAGCAAUUAUAUCUUAAUUUUUUUAAAAGAAGGCUUUCAACAAUAUAUUUUUUUAUAUAUAAUCAUUUUUAUUUUAAGAUAUUAGUUAAAUUAAAUUUUUUUAUAGAUAGAAAAUCUAAUAUAUUAUAUUAAAAUUCUUCUAAUAAAAUAAUUUGAAUUAUUUAUGAAAAAAAUAUUCUAAUUUUAAAUAUUUUAAAUAUAUUAUAUUUCGUAUGAAAAUUAAAUAUAUAGUAAUUUAUAUAUAGAUAUAAUUAUAUAUAUAGUUUGAUUAUAAAAAAAUAUACAUAAAAAUAAUAAAUAUUUUUUCAUACAAAUCUUAAUUUGUUUAACGUAUUAAACUUAAAAUCAAGUUUUUUUCUUUUAAUAUAUAAUUAUGAAUAAUAGAAAAUUUAAAACUAAAAUUUUAUAUUUACUCUACUUUUGAACCAUUGCAAAUUGAUUUUUACAAAAUAAAACUAUUACUAUAUUAAAUCCUCUAUUAAAUUUUAAUUCUAUUAUUUUUACAUGAUAUAAAUUAUAUUAUAACUUUGAUAUAUAUAUAUAUAUAUAUAUAUAUAUAUAUAUAUAUAUAUAUAUAUAUAAAUAAUAAUUUUAAGUUAAUUUUUAUGUUAAACCAAUUUUCAUUAAAUCCUAUAUACAUUUCUAAAAAAUAUUUACUUUUAUAUUUUAAUUUCAAAAUAAAUAAAUAUUUAUAAAAGAAGAAGUAAAAAUUUUAAAAUAUUUUUUAUCAUUGACAUAAAAAUAAUAAAAAUAUAAAUAAAUAAUAAAAUUAUAUAUUUUAAAAUUAUAAUUUUUUAUUUUUUUUCUAAUAAAUGAAGACCUCAUUUAAAUACAAACUAUAGCAUUAAAGACUGUUAAGUAUUAGUUGAAAUAAAAAAUAUAUAUAUAUCAUAAUACAUUAGAUCUAAUAAAAAUAAAUAUUAGUUUUGGAAAUCAAAGAUUUUCAUCAAAACUUAAACAUCAAAUUUUCAGCUGCAUAUAAUCUUAACAAAUGUUUUAGAAAAGAUCUUUCUAACACCACUAACAAUUAGUUACAAACCAUAGACAUGAAAAAAGAAAAUAAUGAAACAAAAGACCAAUAAAAAUUAUAAAGAAAUAAAAUAAGGAAAAUAUAGGCUUUAAUAGCAACAAAACAACAAAAUCUAUUCUAAUAAAAUCCAAUUGAUAUAACUUAGAUAAAGAUUUUAAUAGUACCAUAUACCAAAUAUAUUAAAUAAAGUUUUUUUAGCUUAAAGAAAUCAAAAAGAUUAUUGAAUAGAAUAUUAAAAAAAAAUACGUAGGUACUUUUAAUUUCUUAGAAAUGCACAAUAAUAGAUUCAAAUUUAUAAUCGAAAUUUUUAAAAUUCCUCUUUAUUUGACUUGUACCAAAGUUUGGUAUAUUUGAAUAUGAAAAUUCAUGUUUAAGUCCUCUAGAUCUAUGUCUACAAUUGUAAAUCAUUGUACUUAAAAUAAACAUGAUUUCUUAAAGAAAUAUUAUUAUCAAAUUAUUAUUAAUCAUCUAAGUUGCAACAAUGCACAAUAAUCUUUUUGUACUAGUAUAUAUGUAUUAAACAACUUGAAAGAUAGACCAAAUCCUUUGACAAUUGAAAUGAGACUCAAUUAUACUAAACAACCACUACAUCAACUAGACUUAGGUCUACUAGAUUAUAUUUUUGCAAGAUGGUUAUAUCUCUACAUCAAGUAAUAUUACUAUUUUCUAUUCUAACAAAAAAAAAUAUAUUCAUAUUAUUAAAAAAUUAAUAUAAAUCUAAUACACAUAUGUAUUAUUUAAAGAUGGUAGUGAGCUUACAUAGAAUUCUAUCGCUAAUACAUAUUACUAUAGUAUAAAAUAUACAUAUAUUAUAAAAAUAUAUAGAGGCAAGAAUGAGCCAUUUUCACUCUUGUCAUCUCCUUUCUUGCUUCUAGUCUAGAUUUAAGAGUCUUUAGUUUCCUUGUCUUUUAGUAAUAGCUAUUUCAAUUUUUUUUUACUAUACAUAUUACUUUAUUGUUGUUUUGUCACUUUUCUUUUAAUACAGAUUUUUCAGGUUUAUGCAUCUUCUUCCAGUUCAUUUCCUUGACACAUUGACAAGAAUAUACUUAUAAUAUUAGAGCUUUGUCUUCUCUUGAUUAAGAGUGGAUUACUCAUUUUUCUCGAUAAAACAUAAGCAUAUUAGAAGUUGCAGAUUAUUCUCUUCUAAAAUAAUAUUAUUUUUAGUAUCUUCUUUAUUCUUAAGUCCCUUCUUUUGCUUGUCUUAAGGAAUAUUAGACAUUUAUUUUCUAAGUAUUAUUAUGGCAAAGCUUAUUGAAAUGAAGAGUACAAUGGCAUAAAUACAAGAGUAAUUGAGGAAGUUAAUACUUGCAAUACAUCAACUCAAUUUACUACCACAAGAAGCAACAAGAAUAGCACAAAGUAAGGAUAUAGAUAUGAUUGGAGCUGCUUCAACAUCUGUACUCAAUCAUAUCCCUUCUCCUACAGUAGAACAUCCUUCUAGUAUUAGAGAAACAAGAAGUUUUAUGGCACAAGAUCCAAGUUUCAAGGAUUUAUCAAUCAAAUCUAACUUGUGAUUGAACUUCAACUCUAAAGCUAUCAAAAUCUAGAAUCACAAGUUAGAUUCAUUGGUACACUUCUUUCAAGUUUAGUAUUAUUAUCGUUUUCAUCUUUUUUUGAAUGAUAAGAUCCAAUAUUAAAUGAUUUGAAGGCUUUUUUAGUGGAGUUUUUAUUCAUGUAUGAAAAACAUGAUACAACUUGUCUUGUAAUGAAGAAGAUUUGUAUUUUAGAAUAAAGCAAUCAAUCUGUAAUAUCAUAUGCUUCACAAUUUGAUAACUUACAAUUAAUAUCAAGUAGAAUGAUAUUGCAUUUAUUAGCCAAUUUCUCUAUGGAUUACAAUAUGAGGUAAAGAAAUUGAUGUUUAACUUAUCUGAUCCUCAAACAUUAAGUUACACAAUUUUCUUUGCUGUAAAAUAUGACAAUAGAUUUUUCAAAUUUCAAUCUGAGAGUCAGAUAAGUCGGCCUCAAUGUUACCAUAAUUUAAUAGCAACAGCAAUGCCUCCUCAACUCAUACAUUUAAAAGUAGAGGAUAUGCAAAUUGAUGUGAUAUGUUUCAAACCUCUUAUUGACUAAGAAAAGACUCAUCACCAUUAGAAAGGAUUGUGCUUAUAUUGUACAGAACCUAAGCAGACUACUCAAUAUUGUUCAAAGAAGCAACGUAAUUAUAAAAUGAAAAGUAUGAAUGUUAAAGAAGAUAAUAUAUAGGAAAAUAAUUUUGUCUAACUAUAAUACAGAUCAUGUCACUCGAACCUUGUACAAUACCUAAUGAAGGUCCUAUUCUCUCCUUAGAAUCCUCUUUUUGUUUUAUAUUAAAUAUUAUUUUAGGACCUAUACAUUACAAAGCCUCUUCCUUGUUAGAUUCAAGAGUCUCAAUAUAUUUCUUAGAUGAAGAAUUUGCUAAAAGACAUAACAUAUCUUUAGUAAAUAAAAUUAAAAAUAUUCAUAUAAAAGUCAUAGAUAGUCGCCUAUUAUCUUUUAGAGAUGUUACUCACAAAAUCCUUCUUAUAGAAGUAAUAACUAAUAGUUAUAAUAGCUUUGUGGUAUUUAAUAUCAAUAGAUCUCUUUUUAAUCCAAUCAUUUUAGUAGUUAAAAAAAUACAACCCUUGAGUAGAUUGGAUUUCUUGUACUCUUGACUUUUCUAAAAAUAUAACUAAGAGUAUUAUUAAUCAAGUAAAAAAUCACAAGUCUAGUAUAAUUAAAUAUAUGUUUGUAGAUGCAAGAGCUUUCUUGUAUGUUAUAAAAGAAGGAUUAUCUUGUGUCAUUUAUGCCACACCUAUUUCUAAUGGUGCAAAGAUUUCAAGUAAUAUUCCAAGUCAAUAUUAGGAUUUUCAAGAUGUAUUUGAAAAAAAAAAUGUGGAUACUCUUCCAGAACAUUGUCCCUAUGAAUGCUCAAUUGACCUUCAAGAAAGAGUAAAAUUGCUAUUUGGAACAAUCUACAAUUUAUCAAAAAAUGAGUUGGCCAAAUCCAAAGGGUAUAUUAAAGAAAAUCUAGCUAAGAACUUCAUAUGCCAUUCCAAAUCUCUAAUAGAAGUUUUAAUUCUAUUUGUAAAGAAAAAAGAUAGAUCAUUGCGGAUGUAUAUUGAUUAUCAAGGACUCAAAAAGAUCACCAUCAAGAACAAGUACCCACUACCUUUAAUAUUUGGACUUCUUGAUCAGUUGAAUCAAGCUAAGAUCCAUACAAAAAUAGAUCUACGAGGAGCAUAUAAUUUGAUAUAUAUCAAAGAAAGAGAUGAAUAAAAGAUUGUAUUUUGAACUAGGUACAGACAUUUUGAAUAUAAUGUCAUGCCUUUUGGACUUACAAAAGCACCAACAGCUUUUCAACAUCUUAUGAAUGAUAUUUUUUGAGAAUUUUUAGACGAUUUUUUUGUCUAUUAUCUAGAUGACAUCUUGAUCUAUUCUAAGAAUACAAAAGAAUAUGAAUUUCAUGUUUAUCAUGUAUUACAAAAAUUAAGAGAUACAAGACUCUAUGCCAAGUUAAAAAAAAGUAUAUAUUUUAUACUACUCAAGGUGACUUUUUAGAUUAUAUCAUUUCAAAUAAUGGACUUAUGAUGGAUCCUAAGAAAAUUCAAAUUAUUAUGGAUUAGAAGAUCUUAAAAAUGGUCCGAGAUGUCCAAUAUUUUAUGGGAUUUGCCAAUUACUAUCAGAUCUUUCUCAAGAACUUCUCUCAAAUUGCAACUCUACUCACAUGUUUGACUUGUAAAGACAAACUUCAAUGGAAUCAAGAAGCAAAAGUAGUAUUUAAAGUUUUAAAGACAGCCUUUGUUUUUAUACCAAUCUUGUAUCAUGUUAACCUCUUGUAGAAUAGAUAAAUAAACUUUGUGGUAAGUUACUGGUUGGUUAUUGACAACCUUGAGAAUUAGACUGAUGGUUAGGCAGUUUAGCUGGUAACAGUAGGUUGUUAGUAGAAUAAAUGGUUAAGAAUUCAAAGGAUCAAAACCUUUGAAAUCCGAUGGCCAAUGGAUCAUCUUUUUGGUAGGAUAAAUAGGUUGAGGAAAGAAAGUUCGAGAGCCAGACUAAGAGUCGUAAGUCGGAAUAAGCUUGGUGCUACCUCUUUAUUUUCUUUAUUAUUUGCUUAUGAAGAAUGGUGAUUGAGAGAAGUAUUCUUAAAUUGAUAAUCAUAGAAUGGAUUAUUGGUUGAAUUAAGACGAAAGUAGUAAGCCUCGGUGUUUUGUAGUUUGAUACUUGAUUUCAGAUAGCCAGAAUAUAGUCAAUUGUGACACUAGUAGACCUAAUUCAUAUAACCAAUUUUUCCCCGUGUUCAAACCCAUCUCUAUUAUUUCAAUUGCUUUAGUCUACUAAAGCUUGAAUGCAAUGAGAACAACACUUCUCUAAGACAUUCUUUAUAGAAACAAAUACAUUGGACUUUACUUUGAAUGCCAUAUUAUCACAAAUAGAAAUAGAUGAUAAACUUCAUCUAAUAGCUUUUUAUUCAAGAAAAUUUUCAACAACCAAGAUUAACUAUGAGAUCUACGAUAAAUAGCUUCUUGUAAUUAUGGAUUCUUUUCAAGAAUAGCGUCAUUAUCUAGAAGGCACUUCUACUCCAAUCACUAUGUAUAUGGAUCACAAGAAUCUCAAGUAUUUCUUAUGAGUUCAUAUUUUGAAUCAUCUCCAAGCUUGUUGGAUCAUGUCUUUGUCAAGAUUUGAGUUUAAUAUCACUUAUUGGCCAAGAAAACAACAAUGUUUGUCUAAUGUAAUUUUUAGACAUUCUUAUCUUAUAUCUAAAGAGAGAAAUGCAGCUUUUGAUUAACAAAGGAAAAUUUUAUUGAAGCCAAAAUAAUUUCAUCUCUGAGCAAUGAAAUCAACAUUGACUUUUGAUUCAAUUUUUCUCAAACAAAUUCAAUCAAGUAUGUCCUUUAAUUCUCUUGUUUAUGAUAUUAAGAAUACUUCUUCUAAGUCUCGUGAUAUUUCUAAAUUUGAGUUUAAGAACAACCUACUUUAUUUCAAAGGAUGCUUAUAUGUGCCACAAAAAGAAGCAUGUUUACAUGUUCUUCAAGUACAUCACGAUUUUUUAGCAGUAGGACAUUUUAGAUACUACAAGACUCUUGAGCUAAUAUCUAGAGAUUUUUGGUGGUUGCAAAUGUGGAAGGCUAUAAAAGACUUUGUUCAAUUGUGUGACAUUUGUUUAAGGUCAAAAAUUCCUAGGCAUCAACCUUAUGGACUUCUUCAACUAUUACCUAUUCCAAAACAAAUAUAGUCUUCUAUUUCUAUGGAUUUUAUUAUGGAUCUUUGAGUCUCAAAAUCAUGUGAUUCUAUAUUUGUGAUAAUAGAUCAUUUUAUCAAAAUGGCAUAUUUUGUACCAUGUACAAAACCUAUCAGAGGUGAAGAAAUUGCCAAGCUUUUCCUUGACAAUAUCUAUCGAUAUCAUGGAUUGUCAAAAGAUAUUAUAUCAACUAAGAAGACUCAAUUUAUAUCAAGAUUUUGGAGAACUCUUUUUAAGAUUUUAAAGGUGGACAUAAAGCUUUUUUUGUCCUUUCAUCUUCAAAUUGAUGGAUAGACAAAGUAUAUAAAUCAAGUUUUGGAGCAAUACUUAAGGUGUACCAUCAAUUAUCAACAAGACAAUUGAAGAACCCUCUUGCUAUUGGCAGAGUUUGCUUAUAAUAAUACAAUGCAUUCUUCUAUGCAAUAAAUAUCUUUUUUUGCCAAUUAUGGUUAUCAUCCAUGAUUUGAUACUUUUGAGUUUUUAAAAGUUGAUAAUCUUACAACAGAAGGUUUAAAAAAUCAUUUGUCAAAGCUACAUGCAACAAUGAAGGUGUAAUUAAACGAAGCUCAAGAACAACAAAAAAUCAACAUAGAUGCCUAUCAAAAAGAACAACCACAAUUCAAUGUAGGUGACAAGAUAUAGUUGCUUCAUUGUAAUAUCAAGACUACUCGUUUUUGUGAUAAGUUGUACUACCACAAGCUUGGACCUUUUUCUAUUUGUGGACAAAUCAAUCCAAUUGUUUAUCGAGUAUAUCUACUACAAGCAAUAAAGAUCCAUCUUGUCUUUCACGUAUCUCUUCUUGAAUCAUACAAGACUAUGAAGAUACUCAGAAGAAGACAAGCUUUACUUCUUCCUAUAGAAGUGGACAAUAAUCAAGAGUUUGAAGUAGAAGAAAUUCUAGACUGAAAGAGAUGCCAAAAUAAAUUAGAAUAUCUUUUCCAUUGGAAUGGAUAUGAUAUUAGUGAAUGUACAUGGGAGCCAAUAAAGAAUCUUACAAAUAUAGCAAAGGUGGUGGAGGCUUUUCAUUGACAACAUCCUUCCAAAUCAAAAUAAAAAAUAGUAAGUCUUUGCUAUAAAAGAAAUAAGGUCUAGGGAAGAUUGUAUUUUAUCUUCUAUCUUUUUUUGUAGCUUCUGUAUAUUUGUGACGCUAAGAAGAUGGAAAGCCAAUAAUUAUUAGAUUCAACUCAAGAGCUUUCAUUUGUGGACUUAUUAGACAAGAUAUUGCAAUUGUUACAACUUUUAAGAUGACAAAAUCAAGAUGAAGUUCUUCAAGAACAACAUAUCCUUCUUCAAAUAGAAGGUGAAAUACAAUAAGUUUGAUAUCACAACCUUGGAAGAGACUCUCAAUGUUUGAUAAUUUUAUUAGAAAUAAGAACAAUUCCUAAUGGUAUUUCAAAUAUUUUAUUUGAAGCAAGUUACGAAGGCCUGAACAAUGACCAAAUAAUAGGGUGGUCUUGUCGCCCUGAUAUGGGAUACUAUCAAUGGCUGAGAGGGCCUAUCAACUAUCAUCAAAGAGAACAAAGAUUGAAGAAUGUGGCAAAUACAAUUCAUCGCAUCUUAGAUUUUUUCAACAUAUAAAAAUCGCUUCUCAUGGAACUUAUCUCUAGAAGGAGAGAUAAUAUCACGAACAUAUACAUGUAAACCAAUAAUUACCUACAUGAUUAGAUAAAAGUAGGUAAAAGUAGAUUAAUUCCAUAAUAACUUCUAUAGAAACUUCUUAAAAGCUUUAUAGACACUGCUUUGACUUUAUAGGUGUCUAUAAUUGACUUUUUAGAUUAGAAACAUGAUCAACAAGUCGGCCAUGUGCCACACAUAUUGGUAGUUAGAAGAAUAAGCUAAUUGUGUGGCCCACAUGUAAAAAACUUGUCUUAUAAGCUAAGGCAUGUAUCCUCCAAAGUCAACAUAUAUUAGAGGUCAUAUAGAACAUUGCGACAUAGCUACUAGUUAGAUAAUAUAUAUAGAGGCAACAAUGAAGCCCUCUUCAUUCUUGUCAACUCCUUUCUUGCUUCUAGUCUAGAGUUAAGAAUCUCUAGUUUCCUUCUCUUUUAGCAAUAGCCAUCUAGUUUUCUUUUAAUAUACAUAUUACUUUAUUUUUAUUUUGUCACUUUUCUUUUAAUAAAAUUUUUUCAAGUUUAUGCAUCUUCUUCCAAUGCAUGUCCUUGACACAAAGCUAAAAUUAUAUGAUAUAUUAUUCGCCAAUGCAUAUAAUACAAAAGAUUUAAUUCUAAAAAUUUUUAAAAAAUCUUAAAUGCUCAAAUAUCUAAAUGAUUUUUAAAUUAUUUUUACUUAAAAAUUCGACUUUAUAAAGCAAUAUCAAAUUAAAAACUAAAAUAAAAAUAAUUAUUUAAAAAUAUUAAUAGAUUAUCUUUAAAUAUACAUUAUUUGACUAAAUAUUAUUUGAAAUAGAUUACAAAUUCUAAGAUUUAGAAAUAUUUUUGUAAAGUAUAGAAAUUCAUUACUAAUAAUUUUAAGUUUAUGUAACUUUAUUAAUUUUAUUCUAUCACUAAUUUUUUCUUAUUGAAUAAAAACCACAUAUUUAUUUAGUUGAAAAUACUAUGUUAUAAAAAAUUAUUAUUUAUCUAUACAAGAUAAGAAUCUACCAAAUUAAAGACAUCUAAUAGAAACAUUUUAAAAAUAUAGAUAGAAUACAAAUUGGUUAGCUUAAGACUUACUAUGUUAGUUCCAACUAAAUCCAUAUGGAAGUCUAUUCUAUUACAACUUAUUACUUAAUAGACUUAGGCUCUACUAAAAAAGCUAUAAGAAAUGCAAGUAAAAAAAUAAAUAAUAAAAAAAUAAACUAUAUAUUUUGAUAUGAAAUAUUAUUUUAAAAUAUAUUAAUAUUUAUUAUGGAAGGACUAAUUAGCAAUAAGUUUUAGAUUCAAUACAAAAAAAAUCUUAAAAUAAACUACAUUACUCAAAGAAGUUUGAAAAAACCUAAAUCAAAUAAGAUAAACUAAGAUUAAAAAAUUUAAAAAUAUAUUUAAUUUGGAAUGAUACCUCUUCUCUUCUUCUCUCACCAUGGUAUCACACUAGAGACUAAGUCUUCUACAAUAAAUUGAUCCUUAUUUAAUCAACAAUCAUGUAUACUUUUUAUAUUUUAAAAUAUAUAAUUAAAUAAAAAAAAUGUUAAAUAGAUCCAAGCUUUUACAAAAAUUAUCCACCCAUCUUAACUAUCAUGAAAAAAACAAACAAACAAACAAAGAAAAAAGAAAAAAGAAAAAAUGACCUCUAGAUUCAUUUCACUAAUAAUAGAUCCAAAACCAAUGAAAACCAAUCUCAUUCAUCAUGACUAUCAUAUUGUUCACCAUGGACAAGUCUAUUUAAUAUUCCUCUAAAUAAAUGAUGUGUGUGUAUAUAUAUAUAUAUAUAUAUGUGUGUGUGUGUGUGUGUGUGUGUGUGUGUUUAUUCAUAUAUACACACUCAACCAUUUUGUUUAUUAAUAAAUAUAUUUAAAUACCCACCCAUUCUAAAUAAAUGAUGUGUGUGUGUAUAUAUAUAUAUAUAUAUAUAUAUAUAUAUGUGUGAGUGUAUGUGUGUGUGUGUGUGUUUAUUCAUAUACAGUGUCAAACAAAACCGAGUACAAAAUCUGAAGUGCCAACUUUCAAGAGCAAUUACAGAAAUUUCAAUGAUUGCUUUAUAAAUUUGAAAGUUACAUGGAAUAAUACACACAGUCUUGUACACAUGUACAAAGUUGCACAUCAAAUUGAUAACUAAACAUCCUUCUACAAAGUCAAAUCAACAACUAUGUCUUGUACUCAGUAUUGUUCAAAGAAAAUCUUCAAACUUCAAUAUUUAGUCCAAUAACCUUUUGCUUCCAAAACAGCUGAAAUCCUUCUUGGCAUACUUUUGUAUAGUUUCUCACAAUCUUUUGCAUCAAAACUAGGGUAAAUACUACAAAUAUUCUCCCACAAUUCUUGAACACUUCUUGGCCUUGGAGUGACUUGGCUUAAACGCUGUUUGAGAAGGGUCCAAAAAUAUUCCAUUGGAUUCAAAUCUGGAGAUUGAGUUGGCCAUCGAAGGAGCUGAAAUGGCUGUGAAGCGAGCCAAAACUGAACACUUUUUGCCGUAUGUUUGGAAUCAUUAUCAUAUUGAAAAACCACCUUAGUAGGAUCUAAGUUGUAAUUCUGUGUGAUACUUUGCAAGUAGGUUUCUAAAAUUUUUUUUGUACAAGUAUUGCUCCAUUCUACCUUCAAUUUGAUACCAAGCACCCGGCCCAAAAGCAGUCAUAGAACCCCAAAUCAUAAUUGAACCACCACCAUGUUUGACAGUUUGACUAACAUGUUUAGGUCCAGGUCGUUCUCCUUCUCUCAACCAACACCAAGACCUACCAUCUGAGUUGAUUAGGUUAAUCUUUGUCUCAUCACUGAAAAUAACCCGUCUCCAAUCAUCAACGGUCUAAUUUUUGUAUUUAUGAGCAAAACUCAACCUUGCAAGAAUAUGUCUUUUGGCAAGUAGAGGCUUCUUUUGUUGCACACAAGCACCCAAACCAGCUUCUCUCAAACCACGCCUCAAGGUGAUGUCUGAGAAGUGUUUACCUGUUUUUUCUCGAAGUUGUUUUGCAACUGCACUUGCCGUUUUGAGACAACCAACAGUAACAAGGUGCACACCAAGUCGCUUCUCUUGCUCUCCUAAAACCUUUGGACGUCGUCCUCUUUGCUUUUCUAUUUCACCACUAAUCUCCCUCCUCAGAUGAGCUACUGAAGACUGACUCAUUCCAAGUGAGUCUGCAACUUUUUUUGUAGAAACACCACUCCUAAGCUGCACCAAUGCUUGGUGCUUCAAUGAUUCACACAACUGAGGCAUAGAGAUACAAUUGACAAAUCAACUUUCACUAUAGAUAGUACACAACAAGAGCAAUACAACAAACAAAAAAUGCCCUCAAAUCUUGCAACAAGGAGUGUACAUUGAAAUUUCGAAAUUCAGCAAGAAGAAGCAACCAAAACUGAGUAUGCACGUCUGUGUGCUUCUACAACACUUUUCUCAUAAAACCUACCUCAAAUGAUAAUGAGAUUUUUCAUCCAUAUAGAGGAUUGGAUGAAUACACACAAUAAAAAAGUAAUUCUAUCAAUUGACUUAUGUGUCAGUUGGAAGGAUCAAUGAACUAUGAGUGUUCAGAUUUUGUACUCGGUUUUGUUUGUCACUGUAUACACACCCAACCAUUUUGUUUAUUAAUAAAUACAUUUAAACACCCACCCAUUCCAUAAGGCUUGGUAAGGAAGGAAGGGAAAUGGCGGGUACUCCGGCAGCACAAGAGUAGAAUGUGCCCAAUUGCAGCAGCACCGACGUGGAUGUAGGGCGUGGAAUUUGUGAGGACUCGGAGGCAUGGAAUGGAUGUGAGGUCGGGAGGGCGUGGGUUUUCAUGUGGAAAUCAGGGCCCAUGUCCAUGACUGGUGGACACCAGCAGCUGGACCCCUCCACCGUGGAUGUGGCGAAUGCCCCCGCAGCGUCCCACCCGCGAAUGGAUGACGGAUAGAGCUUGCCGCUCUCGCCCGGCCCGGCCCUGCCCCGCCCUUCCCCCAUCUUAUCUGAUUCCAAUCCCCGCUUGUGGCUUGGAAGACCUUCGCCAUGGCACAUAUCAAGCACCCGUGUACCCCACCUCCCCUCCGUAGCAUCAUCGACCCCCAUUGCACCCCCCUCCCUCUCUUGCUCCGGCAAGCCUCUUGCUGGAUCUCUUCCCCAUGGCUUCCACCGCGUUCGCCGCGGCCACUGCACCCAGCUCUGCCUCCCUCAAGGUACCAUUCGUCUCCUGUACUUGGCUGCAUUGCGUUUUUGUCGAUGUCUGUGGUCAUGCAUUUCUCCUGGAGUACGUUGAUCAUGUCCUAGUGGGGCGAGGUCAUGGAUGCGACGCUAGUAAUUGUCUGAGCAGUGUGUUAGAAUUCCUUUUUCUUGGUUCAGUUAGUUGAGAAUGUGGGUCGACGAGUUCGUCUUCGUCUACAAUUCGUGAAAUGCGCACUGAAUUGCCGUCGUUUGGUUGAUUGGUUCGUCGUUAUGUGUUGUUGAGAUUGGUAGUCGUUGUAGGAGAUGCAUUGUUGUCCAUAGUGGGUGCAGGAGAUGGUAUUCGGCUGAGUCUGUUCUAGGUGGUUCUAUAGUUGAUGCGGUUGUGAGAUUUGGAUUAAAAGCUAAAUGAAUUGAAGAAUCGAAACCCAAAUCCAGAAGGUGGUAUUGCAAACUUUGGACGCUACUGCACGGAAUCUACUGAUACUUAUUAAGUAUUGAGUGUUUUGCAUAUUAUAUGGUCCAGCUCCUAUGCGCAUCCUUAUCUAUUCAGGAUGCGAUUCACUGAGAAGGAUGUGUUGCCUGGGUUUCGACGCGAAUUAUGAGUGGUGCAACCCAGAGGCUUCGGAGACAGGGUUGCCCAAAGAUGUCUGGAGCAUGGAAUUAUUUGCUAGUCAUUCCGUAUGGACCCGAACUCACAUUUUUUGUUUCUGCAGGUUGCUGGAUGUAAUGGAUUCUCCGACUUCUCCGGAAUGAAGAGCACCAACGCUGUCACAUUUGGCAAGCGCUCCGAUGACCUCGCCACCAUUGUAUCAGCUCAGUCCGCAGUGGUAUGACAUUUGAGUUGCGACUAAUUGACUUCAUCUUUGCGGUUCGAUGAGUCUUCCUCAUUUUGUACGCUGUGUAACGUGAAUCAAUCUUGUUAUGAAAUCCAGUUGCUGGUGCAUGUUCACAUCGGUUAAUCAUUUGACUGGUUGUGGUGUAGGCUGCCAGCUCCGGCGCCACCAGGGCCGUCACCGAGGCCAAGAUUAAGGUCGCCAUCAAUGGAUUCGGACGCAUCGGUCGUAACUUCGUCCGCUGCUGGCAUGGGAGGAAGGACUCACCCUUGGAUAUUGUUGUCAUCAACGACACCGGAGGCGUGAAGCAGGCGUCUCAUUUGUUGAAGUACGACUCCAUGCUCGGGACAUUCGAUGCCGAUGUUAAGGUGGAGGGCAAUGACGCCAUCAGCGUGGACGGCAAGGUCAUCAAGGUGGUGUCCGACAGGAACCCACUCAACUUGCCAUGGGGGUAAGUACGCGUUGAUGACUCUACCCCCGGCCAUUCGCUGUAGGAUCUCGUACUGCUCAAUUCCUGUAUGUCAAUGUCUCAUUUCAACCUCACAUCCACCGAGUUGAAAAACAGUUCACGAAUCAUGAGCUGACAGUGCUCACACGUUGUUGUUGUUGAUACUCAUCAGGGACAUGGACAUCGAUCUCGUCAUCGAGGGAACCGGAGUGUUUGUGGACGAGGCCGGUGCUGGCAAGCACAUCCAGGCUGGAGCCAAGAAGGUAUUGAUCACCGCUCCAGGCAAGGGUCCCAUCCCUACCUACGUGGUGGGAGUGAAUGAGCAAGACUACAAGCACUCUGACACCAUCAUCAGCAACGCCUCCUGCACCACCAACUGCUUGGCACCCUUCGUGAAGGUGUUGGAUGAGAAGUUCGGCAUCAUCAAGGGUACCAUGACGACCACUCACUCAUACACCGGUGACCAGAGGCUGCUGGAUGCGUCCCACCGCGAUUUGAGGAGGGCUCGCGCUGCUGCUCUCAACAUUGUGCCCACCUCCACGGGAGCUGCCAAGGCCGUGGCGUUGGUGCUGCCCAACUUGAAGGGCAAGAUCAACGGAAUUGCCCUGCGUGUGCCAACCCCAAACGUGUCGGUUGUGGACUUGGUCGUCCAGGUGGAGAAGAAGACCUCCGCCGAAGAGGUGAAUCAGGCAUUCAGGGAUGCCUGCAACACCGACCAGCUGAAGGGUGUGUUGGCAGUGUGCGACGAGCCACUCGUGUCAGUAGACUUCAGGUGCACUGAUGUGUCAUCGACCGUGGACUCAUCUUUGACAAUGGUGAUGGGAGAAGACAUGGUGAAGGUUGUUGCGUGGUACGAUAACGAGUGGGGAUACUCCCAGAGGGUGGUUGAUUUGGCAAACCUUGUUGCUGAGAAGUGGCAAUAGAUCUCUUCAUGUAACAAUUGCAGGCGAAGUUCAAUUUUAGUGCAGCUGCAGUCCCGGAUUGAUUACUUUGAAUCUGGAUGUCGCUGGUUCUUUGUAUGGUUUUACGUCACUCCUAUUUAUCCUAGUGUAGGUCCGAUGUAGCGAGUGAUGGAAUGGUUCAAUACUCGAAUAGACGGGUUUGCAAUUGCAAAUGUGUCUUGAAAGUGGAAACGAACUUCAAAUAGUGCGUCCCAACCUGUAUUAAUUCGUCCAUCUAAUCUAUCCGCCACCUCGAAAAUGGGAAUUUUUUUUCUUACUUCAACUGCCUACUGUCUGCAUAAAUCUCGCCUUAAGCCCGUGCAUUCGUCGGAAAAUUUUCCUUAUUUUCAAAUACCCUGAUCAUGUUGGAGACUUACGAAAGUGCUGCGAAAGUGACAGUACCCUGUUUCUUAUCACCACAUAUUCUAUUGGCUAUUGUUAAAUUUCUGUGAUAUAUCCAUCCAGACUACAUACUUAGCUGCCUCGUACACAAUCCAUAUUCACACCAUGUAACUAAUCACAUAACAUCCAGUACUUUGGAGAGAAAAAGAAGACAACUUUCACUUCUAGAUGUUACCAUCACAUCCUCUUUAGAGUGUAAGAAAAUAACUUGAGAAUAGAUUUCGUAAGGAGAAAUAUAUUAACAAGAAGUAACUUUUUUUUUUCAAAUUAUUUGAAUUUCUUAAAUUGAGUAUGGUAGACAUCGUCGCACCGUCACGAAAAAAAAAAAAAAAAAAAAAAAAAAAAAAAAAAUGUUGCUUUUUCGAUGCUUUUCUGAUACUUUGCUAGCUUUCGACCACAAACACUGUCCUCUUUUGCAUGCUUAUUCUUUUUUAUGUCGUCUUUCCAGUGCUCUGACGAUGUCUUUUGGACCACUGCACGCCACUGCAGAGCAAGGUUCAUUCUAUGCCUUAGGCUUCACUUCGGCAUAAGCUCAGGCCCGAGAAAUCACAAUUCGAACCAAUGGUGUCGGUUAUGCUCCACACGGUCAUCGGUUUCCGUGGUCACAUGGUCCCCAAGUCCUAAAGCCGAGUCGGGGAGGGAACAGUUAACUCUUUCCAAUAACAAAGUGGGCGUUCGUCACAUGCCCAUCACAUGCCCGAUGUGGCAUGGUCACAGGCGAAAAGGUGGGCAUGAGGGAAGUGUUGGGAAUGACAAGGUCACCUUAAGCCGUGAAAUCCUAUAGCUAGACUGGCUCCAAUCUAUCCUUUCUACCAACCCUUCCCAGCCGACGCUGGCCCGUGCUUCGGUGCCAGUCCUGCGAUACAAGGGCUUGGUGAUGCUCUGGAACCCAUCAUCUCGUUCCCCAAGCUCCCACGUUCCCUCUACUGCUGCCUUCCAUACCUCUUAUCUUUUCCUUUUCUGGCCCUCUUUCUUUCCACCUCUCCUUCCGUUCUAUCCCUCCGCCCACUUUUCUUUCCAUUUGUUUCUUUUUCUUUUUCUUUUCCAACUUUUGUUUCCUUUAUUUUUUUCGUUUUUUUUCUUGUCUGGGGCUGUGUCCUAUUCAGUAAAAGGACCAAGUGAUUCAAGAUUAUCUUUUACUUUUUCAUUACUGUUUAGAUGGUGUAGUUUCCAAGUGUUGUUCAAAAAGCCCAUCCCACUCUCAACUUUAUCCAGUUUUUGAGAAUAAGUGUUUUCAAAUGCUAUGGGAUAAAUUUUUCUUAUUAUUAACUUGGUAGCCCUAUUCUGCUUCAUGUCUUAAACUGUUUGUGGAACCCCCACCUUUUCUUUUUCUUUUUUAUGUUAAUAUGAAUUUUAAUCAACCCUGCUUAUGUUCCUUAACUCCACAUUUAUCUAACAUGUGUAAAUGUUUUAAUUUUGUAGCAAUUCAUGACCAUCAUCUAUGUUUAUUGAUAGCCAUUUGAUCAAGUCUGUUGAUGAUGAUAACAAUAUGACAAUGACGAAACUACUACAAGUCAGUCAAUAAAAUAAAAUAAAAUAAAAAUUUUGUGCUAAUUCUUUAUUAAUAUUUAAACAUUAUAAUCAAAUUAGUUUCACAUGGAAAAAGAAAGAAAGAGAGUGUGCUUGCCCCAAAAUGAAGUUGUCAUCAAUACUUUUAAAAUUUUAUCUGUCUAUUUUUAGAUUUAAUAUUAUGUACUAACAUUUUCAGGCAUUAUGUAUUCAGAAACAAGUGUGUGUGUAUAUAUAUAUAUAUAUAUAUAUUUAAAGUGUUUUAUUACAAAAGAUACAAAUAUAAUCACCAGUGUGAGACAAUACAACUUUGUGUGUGUAUAUAUAUAUGCAUAUAUUUCUUUUCAUAAAAUAUUAAGAAUGAUAUGAAUUAAAGAGGAUUUGACUGUAGCUAUUGGCAGUGCCCAUUCAUAUGUGCCAAUGGUUGCUUUAGAUAUCCACUGCCAAUGCCUCCCACAUUCUGAUAGUUUAACUAUGUAAUUCAUUCAGUCAUGCCAAUUUACAUUCAAUACAAUUUCCAUUUCAUAUUUUUAUAAAGUUACUCUUUCAUAGUAUUGACACUUUUUAUAGCAACUUUUCUCCAUAUAAGAUGUUUUGAUAUGUAUCUGGCCAACAAGAAUUUUUCAAAGUGCAACUUGUUUUUUCUGUGUUUGUGAUUGACCCUAUCAAUCAAUUGACAUAUUGAAUAAAAACAUUACUUUUCUUUCUUUUCUUCUUGUAGUUAUGCUCUCAUAAUUUUAUGAUUUUUAAAACCUUCAAAAUAUUAUUUUGAAAAGUCAUUUGAUUUAUUAAAAUUAUAUAUUUAUUCAAUAUAUAUAAAUAUACACACUUUAAUUGAAAUUAUUUAUAACUUUCUUUGUUGUCUCAUCAUCAAUAAAAAUACUAGAUUUUCUUGUUUAUUUUCUUGGGUGAUAAAAUUUAGAUUAUUUAGACAAAGUAGAGAUUUAUUCUAACACACAAUCAGUUGAUUUAUAAAAUCACAAAAUAAAAAAAUGAAAGUUAUAUAAAAUUACAUAUGUGAAAAGCUUAACUAAAAACAUGCUUUCUUUUUCUUUUUCUUUUUCUUUUCUGUAGGAAUUUAAUUAUUGUUUUGAAGAUUGUUAUUUUGAGGCACCAAUAAAUUUAUUUGAAAUAAAAUUCAUAUAAUAAAUAAAUAAGCAAAUUGUUAUAGUUAUUUUUAAAAAUAUCUUAAGUGGAUUAAACUCUCAAUAAAACUUUUACAAAAAAAUAUGUUUGUAUGAUGUUUGGUUAUUUAGUUUUGCAUAAUGAUUCAUUGUUAAUUGUAUAUAAUUGCUUUAACAUAUAACUCUUGAAACAAAACAAGGGCUCCUAACACUAACUCUGGUUAUUAUUAUUAUUAUUGUUAUUGUUAUGAUUUUAAAGUUUUCUAAAUUUCCAGGCAUAAUUAUUUAACAAAAAUAUUUUCCAAAAACAUAUUGUUUUUUAACUGGUGGAGUCUUUAUGAAUUUAGAGUAUUCAAUUUUUAUGCAGUAGCAUAUGAUUUGGAAAAUCAACUGUAAACACGUCAUGCAAUAAUCAUAUCUAAACUAUUUAAAGAACUUAAAAAAACAACAAAAAAGUAAAUGAAGUCUAAAAAUACAUCAUUCUAGAGCAAUAAAAAUCCAAUAAAAAUAUUGUGAAGCAAUAAUAGAGAGAAAUAAGAAAAAAACAUCAAAAAAUCGAAUAAAGAUUUAAAAAAAAAAAAACACAAUAUGUGGGAUUUUUUAAUCCUGAAAAUGAAAUUAUGACUUUAAAGUAACCACCAUUGAUCAAAUAAAGGCAAGUCAAUCCAAAAUUUCCACCAUUAUCACAUGUAGAUAAACAAAAGAAAGAAACCCAUCAAAUCAACACCAAGAAAAAAGUAUUUAAAAAUACUUUACAUCCAAUUUUCCAUGGUUUAUUUUUGAAAAAAUAUUCAAAAAGAGGGAAUAAGAAGAGAAGCCAUUUGUUUUUUUCGUGUGGCCUUCCGGACAGGCUGGAGGGAAAAAAUGAAGGGAAGGAACUCGAAGGAACAGAAGAUAGGAACUCGGGGAACAGAAUAUGGGAACUUGGGGAACAGGGGAUGGGAUCUACAGGGAACAGAGGGUGGGAACUAGGGGGAACUGGAUAGGGGAACGCAAUCCCAACAAAGCUCACACUGAUUGAAGUGGAAAACAGAAGAGAGACGAUGGAGGGGCCCAAAUGAGACAUGGCACCUCAGCGACAUUACGUCCUUUUCCGCAACACCUGAAAUCUGAACAAGCUCAAGAUUCGAUCGGGGGCCAAUUUCCAUCCAGAUUUAGAUCCUCUCGAAUGGCCAGAUAUUUUCCCAUAGUAAAAGUACCCACGUGGACUAAAACUCUUCUUCCCUCUCACGUAUUGCCAUCUGGACGCCUCUGCACGUCUUUUUAGAUAGGCAAUCACCUCCCGGAGUUCCCACCACGUUCUCUGCACGUUCCCAGUACGUCUCGGCAGAGUUCGCAGCUUCUUCACCUCUCCGUGCGUAGCGAACCUUAAAGGGACGACGACGUCUAUUUUCGUGCCAAUCAAGGUGCGUUUGUGUCUGUUGACUGGGACUGUGAUUGAUCCCCUUUGAAACUCGAAUUCGGUACUUUAGUUAUCGGCAAAAGCUUACUGCAUCUCUACGGGACAUAAUACAAUCUGUCAUGGUCUAGAUUUCCAGCCUCCUCACCCGUUUCGGAAAAUCUCGCACGUUGUGGGAUUGUCACCAGCAGCGCACGGUUACGGCGUGAGGGAAAGCAACAGGAUGGAUUUACUGGAGGCGAUGCGAAUCGGCUUUCGUUUCGGCGUGCGUUUGGUAAACUAAGGUUUGGGAUUGUUUGGAGUGGUUGAUUGAAUUUCCCUUGGACAGGCUGUGGCGUUGGCGCUGGUCGUCGCUGCCCCCCCUCAGAACACACUUUUGCGACGCUGGCUCUUGGUGCGCUUGGUGGCUAUUGCGCGGGCCUGUAGUUUGGCUUUGUUGCUGCUGCGAGGCAGCUAUCCGUUUGUGUUGUGUUCCGGAGGUUCUAACAAGCUGCCGGUCGCAUCUUUUGGCUCAAAUUUGGCUCGCAACGGUAGUGGUCUUGGUGUUUGGCGACGGGAUGUAGAUUCAUUGGGCCGUGCAGUUGUGCCAUUCUGUUGCGUCGGAGCUUGUGAUGGAGCUCGGAGGGUGACUGCUGGAUUCUGCUAAAGAGAUUGAGUUUCGGUCAAACCUUGAGGAGAGGGAAUUGAGUUGUGUUUGGCUGUAUCUGACGGCACGAUUCGGUGGCUGAAAUGGCGCAGUCUGGCUGCUUGGACGUUGGUGAUGGAGAAGUCUUGGUGGAUAGUGGACAUCGGAUUGGGGUAGUUAGCAUCUGAGAUGAUUUCAGUAGGUGAAUCGUAGAUGUCGUGAUGUGCGCGUUUGGAAUGAUGUGGUGAAAGAGAUGGUUCUGGUCGCACUAGUGUGCAUGCAUGCGUGUGUGCGUGCUCUUCGGAGCUUAAAGAUCCCGACGAGUUUUUGUGAGGUUCGCGUCCAUUUGCAUCGCGUAGAAUCUGGUGUAUGAUUCAUCUUCGAAGAGCUUUUUCCUCAUCCGUGUCCAGUUCUGGGUAUUUAGGGUUUUCGAUGUUCUCGUGGUCGCUGGCUCGAAUAAUGCGGUGUGCGAGGAUACUUUCCUGAGUUAAUUUCUAGGAAGAGGUCGGAUUGCCUCUCGCUCGGGGUCAAAUUGAUUGUGCCUGACCGCAGAAUGAGCAUUUGAGCGUGCUGCAGAGUGCAAGCGUGAACUCUCUCAAUUAUUGAGAUUUGGAGAUUGAGUAGAUGGCUUGAGUAUCUUUGCCUGGAUUCCCAGCUUAGUUCCGGUAGUCAGCCAUCGAGCCAAUCUGCGUUAGAUCCUUGGCUAUGGCAAAGUGCGGGAACGAAGUGGAGCUUUGACAGGAAAUCAAUAAGUGGUGUGAAUAUGGAGGGAGGGACAUGUACUCAGGGCUCGAUAGGACCUCACGUUCCGUCCGUGGCAGCUGUAAAGCAAGAACCACGGACGGGCUCCUGGUCGUCACAGGACAACAAGUGCGAGUUGGCAAUGGCAUCAAAGCCGGCACUGGACAAGGACUUUCUCUGCCCUAUUUGCAUACAAACAAUGAAGGACGCCUUUUUGACUGCAUGUGGACACAGCUUCUGUUACACGUGUAUUAUGACACAUCUGAGCAACAAGAGUAAUUGUCCUUGCUGUGGACAGUACCUUACCAAUAAUCAACUGUUCCCGAACUUUUUGUUAAACAAGGUGACAGCGUGUGCUUACAUACCGUGACUUUUAUAUCUCGGAAUAUAUUGAUCUGUUUUCAAUUUGAGCUAAAUCUAUAACCCCGUCGUCUUAUGGAUUCUUAUGUUUCCAGCUUAUGAAUAGAGGUGCUGUUCUAUAAAUUUGUUGAUACUGACCCGGUAGUCAUCUUACAAGCCCAGAAAAUAUUGAAAUUUUCGAUAUUGCUUAUUCUUGAAAUUAUGUUUUACAGUUGUUGAGAAAGGCCUCCGCCUCCCAGCUCGUCAGCAAUGCAUCUCCUGCUGAGCAUUUACGACUUGCUCUUCAGCAGGUUCGUUGUUUUCUUUUCCCAGCCACGCCCGUCUGAUUAUGAAUCGACCAGAUGGCGAUUAAAGAAGGGGAAUGAGUACUCAUUUGUGUGGAUGAGAGUGCUUGGUUAUGAUCCUUGACAUUUUUCUUAAGGUCCAAUAUUGGAGCUUAUUUUUUCUCAUUUCUGUGUCAGGGUGUAGACCUACCUGUAAAGGAGCUGGACUCACUCAUGCACUUACUUUCUGAUAAAAAACGGAAAGCUGAACAAGAAGAAGCCGAGGCCAAUAUGGAAAUUUUACUUGAAUUUUUACAUCGGUCUCGACAACAAAAGAAUGAAGAGCUUAAUCUUGUAAGAAAUUCCCGCUUAAUCCCAUAUAGGCAUUUAUGCUUUGAAUGAAGAGAAGAUGUCCGCUGAUUUGUUUUUAGCACUGUUUUUUACGAACUAGGUUCGUGCUCUUGGCAUUACAACACACUGUUGGUUUGGUCUAACUCUUCACCACAGCGAGGCUCCUCUUGCCCUUCACUGAUUAGUUAACCCUUUUGUAAUUCCAUGAAUUAACCGUAUUUGUCUGUAUUGACUGAAGCGCUGUGUACAUGCAGUUGCAAGGAGAUCUUCAGUUUCUCAAAGAAGACAUUAGCACCGUCGAGAAGCAGCGGCAAGACCUGUUACACAUUACGGAGAAAAAUGCUCUAAAGAUUCGCAUGAUCGCGGGUGGACCGUCAUCCUCUAGGCCAGAUACAUUAGCUACAAAUGAAAACACAAGUAAGGGUGAGGCAACUUCUCAGAGUCGAGGUGGUCAGUUUGGAGCGUCAGUACCAUCCAACUUGCCCCCAGCUAGUCUUAAGAGAGAUUACAGAGGACGUGUCACUUCUAUUGGGACCUACAAGGAGAUGAUAGGAGGUGACGUAUCAUUGAGUAAAAGUCAAUCAGAAUUGAAAGCGCUGACACCUUCACCAGCGGUCUUGACGAUGGCAAAGAAACGCCGUGUGGUGGCUCAGGUAGAAUUAUUCGGAGGACUGCAGUUUCUUGGUUCAUAGAAUGCUUAUGGAUAUAAUUAGAUUUGACGCUGUAGUAUAUACAGUCUCUAAGAAUAUGCACUUCCUAACCACUCGAUUUAUUUCAUUAAUAGUUUGAGAUAUUGGUUUGUGAGGAAACUUGGAUAGUAAGACUUCACAGUUGUGAGCUUUUUCUGAGGUUAAUGCUGUGCUGUAAGCGAGUUUCCAGGUUUUUGUGGUCCUUCAAGCGCUUUGUAUGCUUAGAAUUAGCUUGCUAGCUUAAGUACCUGAUGUCAUUGAUCGUGUUUACUAACUUUCUCGGUUUUUCUUACAAUUUCAGAUCGAGGUUUUGCAAGAGGCCUAUUUACAGCGCAGAAGGAAAGUAGCACAAGUUCAUCGUCAGGAACAAAAAGUGCAUGAGACAAUCGUGCGCAAGGAUGAAGAGGUCAACUCUGCCCGUGCCGACCUGUACAGUUCCGGUUUAGACGAUUUCCAGUCCGUUCUGACUGCAUUUACACGCUACAGGUAUGUCGCUCUUUGCCCUAUGGAUAAUACCUUGUCUCCAUAGGUUCAUGAAAAAUUGCCCUUGGCUGUGGCGUGUUUAGUGGCAUAAUUUAAUUUCUGUUAUACAUGUUGGUUCGUUGGAACUUAGUUUAUGCCAUGAAAUUCUAGCAUUCGGAAGUCAUUGAAACGUAGUGAUGGGGAAGAGUUCGAUUUUUGUGUCACCGUUCCUACGUGCACUGAGGUUAAUAUGGAGUUCACGUUCUUGUGUAGCCGGUUGAGUGUAAUUGCAGAGCUGCGGCACGGAGAUUUGUUUCAUUCCUCAAACAUUGUUUCAAGGUAAGAUCGUCUGGAAUUGGUGGGCACCAUUAUAUAACAGUCAUGUCUGUUAGAUAUUAGCGUACACUUUUUUACUGCAGCAUUACUCGAAAGUGACCUGAGCAGCCUAGGCACUUAGAUUAUACUCAAUUGGAAAAGCAAAUUCGCUUUUGUAUGCCACUUGUCGGAAAUUCCAGUGGAAACUGAGAGUAUCACUAUUGCAUGUGCAGCAUUGAGUUUGGUAGGGAUGAUGAGUUGUUUGCAACAGCUGGAGUUUCAAGGAGGAUUAAAAUUUUUGAAUUUGCAACGGUACGCCUCCAUUUCAAGAUGAUUGUCUUUCAAAGAACAAACAAAAAGUAACCCUUUGCCUUGAGAUAUCAUUACAUUAGUGUAUCGAAUUGCUCAAAAUCCGUGUCCUCACGUUCAAGCAAGGUCUACAUUGAAGCACGCUAAGGAUUCAUCAUCUCAGUAAUGCUUAUGCAUAUUUGAUUCCCGGUCCUAAAUGCAAGUAAAUUUAUGGAUUCAUGUAAGAAAAAAGUAAAUUCUUUGUGAACGCGAUUGCACUUGAUUUCUGGUUUCUGAAUGCCCUCAGGUUGUCAAUGAAUUCGCUGGUGUACACUGUCCAGUAGUGGAAAUGUCAACAAGGUCAAAAUUGAGCUGCCUCAGCUGGAACAAAUAUAUCAAAUCACAUAUCGCCAGCAGUGAUUAUGAGGGGAUUAUUACUGUCUGGGACGUGAAUAGGCGCCAGGUUUGUUUUCAUUAUGCUCAUGCCGAAGUCAUAGAUAUGUCUUGAUGAUGUAAAAUCCGGGCUUUAGGUACCUCACCCGCCCAUCACACUCCCCCUUGAUGUGUGUAGGUGUGUCUGACGUGUCUUUCUGGUUCACACAGGCAAGUUCUCAGUUGACUUGUAAUGAUGCUGCAGAGCAUAACGGAGUAUGAAGAGCAUGAAAAGAGGGCAUGGAGUGUGGAUUUUUCACGAACUGAUCCCACUAUGUUAGUCUCGGGAAGCGAUGAUGGCAAGGUGAUUUGUUGAAAUGUUGUGAUUUUAUCACUCAAGUAACUGAUGGACCUUCGUUUGACAAGGCCCCUUAAACUGGAAGGUAGUUUUUGGGCUUCUGCAUCAAGGAUCGAAGCGAAUGUGUAGUUGAUCCUGAAGCUUUUUGCAUUGUUUCUUGCAGGUGAAGAUAUGGUGUACGAGGCAAGAGUCAAGCGUGAUAAAUAUAGAUAUGAAAGCAAAUAUUUGCUGUGUGAAGUACAACCCAGGAUCAAGCAACUAUGUUGCAGUAAGUACUUCGAUCCUCCAAAAUGAUUUACCAUCAUCUUGAUGUGAUAAUGACCUGUUGAAACUCUGUUCCAAUAUCUGUCUAAACUGUAUACUAUCAACUCAUUUUUGGAUUGUACCUUGCUGCAGGUUGGUUCUGCGGAUCAUCAUAUUCAUUAUUUUGAUGUGCGUAAUUCUCAUUUACCGUUGUAUGUGUUCAAUGGUCACCGAAAAGCUGUUUCGUAUGUCAAAUUCCUAUCUCCAAACGAGUUAGCAUCCGCAUCUACUGAUAGUACUUUGUGUCUUUGGGAUGUCAAAGAGAACUGCCCGGUACGCUUUCACUAGAUACACAUUAUCUUCUGCUUUCAGGUUCAUCAAUUUCUGCGUAAAAUAUAUUUUAAAUGUUUUGAAUUGCACUGCAAUCUGUAUGCAGUACCAGCUAGCAGUUUGAGUUUCCGUUUUUUGGGUCUUGACUGUUUAUGAUGACUUGUGCAUAAAGUUAUUCAACUGACAUCAGGUGUUCUGAACGCAGAUAAGGACACUAAAAGGUCACACCAAUGAAAAGAAUUUUGUUGGACUUACUGUCAACAGUGAGUAUAUCGCCUGUGGCAGUGAAACAAACGAGGUGUUUGUGUAUCACAAGGUAACAUUCUGCUUGAACAGAGUGUUAAUAUUUUGUGACUUGCUGUGGAUGACUAUUGGACUUUGGAUGUCAAAAGGAAAGGACUUAAGGUGAAUUUUUUUGGUCAUUGGGAUAGGAUGUUCUAUGUUUCUAUACUGAUGGAUUCUCUCUUUCAAGGAAUGAAAAUUUGAGGUGUUGCAAACCUGACUGAAAGGAUGCACUAGGCCGUGGAAUAUGUUAUUAUGAAAGCAUAAAUUAAUGUAUUGUUGCUUUCACGUUAGAACUCCCGAAUAUCAUUUGUAUGGAAGUUUUUACUAAAUUCGUUUCAUUUUCUGCAGGCUAUGUCUAAACCAGCAUCUUGGCACAGAUUUGGAUCUGAAGAUGCGGGGGAGAGCGAUGAUGAUACCUCCCACUUCAUAAGUGCCGUGUGCUGGAAAAGCGAGAGUCCUACUAUGCUUGCCGCCAAUUCACAAGGCACAAUCAAAGUCCUGGUCCUUGCUCCCUAAUUCGUUCCUAACUAUAUCUAUAAUGCUGUUCAGGCCACGAGCUGUAAUUACGUAACAUGGUUCCAGGGCGUACCUUAAUUUUUCACGAGGGAUAUCUAUCCCAGUUUUGAGUGGUUCUUGUAAUUCUUCUCCUGAUUUUUACACAUGAAAGUUGCAUAGGUUUACCUGUCCUGGAAGUUUCAAUUGACAGUUUCCUGCAACUCACCUUCGAAAGUUUUUUUUUUUUUUUAGCGACAAAUGCUAGUGGUGUAAAUUCCGAGACUUUUGUGGACACAUUGCCCCUUGUCAUGGUCCACCUAUUACCCCAAUCGGAUGCUGUCAUUUUAAUUAGCAAAUGUUCCUCUCUUCGCAUGACAGACGAUGAACUGGUGGACCUUUGGUUGCAACACUGGUGAGUCAUGUUAUGCAGUUUUUCUUUUGCUAAAUCUACUAGGUCGUAGAUGUGUUGGGUACAGGGUGCGAUUCCAUUACUCUGGAAUAGCGGCCUGAUAUGCAAUCAGCAAGUCACUAUUUGCAUUGGUUAGAUGCAGGAUUGAGAAGAUCAAUUUAGUGUCGUCAGGAGAUCUAAAGCAUUCUUCAAGGAGUUUCUGAAGCUCUCAGACGUCGUGGAAACCAAAACAUUUUUUCAUGAUGUAAUAUUGUAUUUUUUUCUCUUGAGAUUUGAGUGUAUCUGAAGUAGUAUUUUCCCUACAUUUGGAAUUUUAACGGUGACGUUACUAAUGGUCAAGUAUUCAAUAUUUAUUCAACUCGCAUUACUGAAGUUUAUGUAGUAUGCCAUCAAUUACUGUGUGAUUUUAUCACUCAAGUAACGUGAUGCCACAAUACAUAGGUUUCCAACUCAUCAAGGAUAUGAUAUUUGAGUUGCAGAAGUUGAUGUUGUGUUAGUUCUUUAUGAUGUUUGUAUAAAAAACUAUGAAAUGAUUGAGUUAUGCCUCUCAGAUGAAGAUAACCUGAUCAUUGUCUUUAUCAGAUGUUGAAAUAACAAAGAAGUAGAUAAAUAAAUCAAUUAACCACAUCGUUAGUGCAAAACUACCAUUUACUCGAUGUAGAAAUCGCCAGAAGUGGCAGGUUGAAAUGCGGUGGGAUGUUAUCUAAAGAAAAUACUUAGGAACAGAGAACUAACACAGUUUCUGAUUGUGAACAUUGCUUGUGAACAGUCAGGAAGCAAAUCUCUACAAGGUGCUUGUAUCGUACAACUGCACAGGAUCAAACACAAUUUCAUCAUGUUUGCUGGGAAUGGUUCUUAUACCCAAAAUAAACAACAGAAGGGAAGCACCGUGUAGCACUUGCGAAGAUAAGACUGACAAGUUACCGUCUCCGCUUACACAUUAUUCUCCCUCUUAAGCAAAUACCCACUGAGGUAAUCAAACAUAGUAGAAGAUUACAUAAGUGGCCAGAAUCAAACAGGGCAGGUGCUAAGCAGGAAGUGGCCAGGUUGAAGGUGAACCAUUCGGCGAACACAUGUAAAGUAGAUUUUUCUCAAUCCAACAGAGCUACUGCUGGAGAAUCCAUCUGACACGAGGCUACUCACCGACACAAAUCUCUCUCGCACGAAUGAGAAUACUGCAUGUUCACGCUGACGGGCAUCGCGGGAGGGGCAGGGUUGAUUUGAGACGACAACAGGAGUGGGGCCAUCUGCAUCCUAUUCCAAGAUUCUGUCCAACACUGCUGACGCGCCGAAGCUGCUGCUCAAGGAGCUCGCGAUGCAUGACUUGAGAGAGUCGAAUCACAACCGCACGCUUUGGAGUGCAAGCCUGAGAGCACCCUCUUAUAAGAAACGAAACUUACUUGCAAACACUCCUACAGUAAAACAUUUCUGGAUUGAUCAAAUUUGAAUUAGUACCUGCCUAAACUUUAUUCUUUUCCCAGUAUUGUAGGAGAAGAAUUCAUGAUUAAGCAUUCAACAAGACGAUAAGGAAGUAUCUCAAAACCAAAGUAAUGGGACGCCCGUGCGCCUUCGUACAAUCUCAUGCCCAAAGUUGGAGACAACCGCCUCCAUGUCAGGAUCCAGCAAACUGCUGGUGCCAAAGUAACGCACACUGACUUUCCCUGGAUUAACUUGAAGCGGCUACGCAACAAAUCACGUCACUCAGUCCAUGAUUCCUUCCGUCAUGACAGGAUUUGCUGACAAAGUGCUGAUUCGAUUCUGGCAGAGAGCAACAAAGGUCGUGGCGGAGAUUUCGAAGUGUACAGAGUGAGUUGGUAUACACUCUCAAACGUUGAUGGGAUCAGCCCACCAGACAACCUCAACGACUAGGCACUUCUACUUAGAUGUAAAUAUUAAUUUACUACACUGGAAGUCUUCUGAAAGUCUGGCACAACUGCACAAAUCCUGGAAUCCGUUUGUGGAAACGAUAAUGGAGUUCUCACUGAACACCUUGUUUCAAUCCCUUCACUUUCACACAUUCAAACCACAGGGCAGGCCUUUGUUGGGUGAGUGAAGUUUCAAGAGGCUGCCAUCAGCACAGUAGGAAUUUAUUAUAAACCCCAGAUUAAAAAAGAUCACGACAGAAUGAAGCUUGCAGUGUGAUACUUGCCCCGCAAUGAACUCCAAAAUCGUCAAUUUAUUUGUAGAAUAUCGUGUAUGAACAAGUCAGUCGUCAAGAAAUGUUCAACAUUGUCUAUGAUCUUUAUGUAGCAUAGCCACGGUCGUUUGAAGAUUAGCCUGUUUGCAUUUCUCGUGCUAGGUUAACGGAGUAUACCCAUGUUUCCUGCCCAACUUGCUGACUCGAGCAUCAUCGGGACCCCAAGUUUCAAAAUUGCUCGGUCAUGCUAUCACUAGUCACGGCAGCGGGACAAGAGGUCCGGUGCUCACCUUCUCAACUUUAAAUCUACUAUUUUAACCAACACUUCUACCAAACACUAACUGGUCAUCAGGCUAAAUUCACUGAAAGAGAUAAUGAUACGCAAAACAUCAAACCAAGGAUUGCAGAAGAUUGAACCCUCCCUCCGGUAGAAACUCCAAAAGGAUGCUCGAAACCCCCAGGUGAUGGACCGGGAGCCAAGUACUCAGAAUCCGGUGCAGUGGGAACCGGUUGGCCAGUAGAGUUCAAGGUCGUCGUCUUGAAGGUCCAUGACCAGAUCUUGUGUCGCACCGUGCCGGCGCCAGUCGCAGCCGAGAAACCAAUGUACAUGUACUCGUUGAAAACAGUGGACAGAUCGAUAGGAACAGACAGGAGAGAGACCGUGGGCUUGACGUAAUCACCAUUCGUGUAGGGGCUGAUCGAGACAUCCAGCACAUGUGCCACGCUGUUGUAUGACACAUACGCUUGGAUGUGGGUGCCGGAUGCCAGGGUGACGGGAAUAGUACCUGACAUUGCAGGCUUCGCUUGUUGCGACACUAAGCUGUUGAUAUCCACACCAAUGUGGUUGUCGUCGAUGUCUUGGAAUUGAGUGUCCUGCUUUGUAUCGAACUCUAGAGCAAAAUAUUUUGUCGUCGAGACGGAGGUAGAUGGAUUAGCUGUGACGAGGCCAAGAUAACCACCCGGAUCUCCAACUGUCUUGUUCUCCGAGGAGAUGCUGAAAGUGAGCCCAGCACCAUAGGCCUGCGGUGUGGAGGGUUCAUUUUCGAUAGAGAAGAUGAAGUUGGUUUCGAAUGAAAUGCUGGUUUGCGGGGAUGCACUGAUGACGCGAACUGGGUAGUCAAACGUCGCUCUCCCAGCGGCUUUGUUGGUGAGCUCCAGUGCUAGGUCGUCUAUGAAAAUGUGGGCGUCUCCUAGGACUGAGAUGCUGUUACCACUGUUAGAGAAUUGGUAAUACUGAAAACUUGUGUCAGCUUCAACACCUCUGCCUGCUCGAAUGAGCCCGUGACAUAGAAUGAGUAGCAACAUUCCCAAUUUCGCCAUGGCUAUCUGCAUUGUACGCACCUACAUUUUCAGGCUGAAAACAUUCGAAGUACUGUGCAGCGGGGACGAGAAUAAAAAAAAUUAAAUAAAAACAAAUGUUUUAAUCUUAGAACUAGCAACAUAAACUUUAAUACAGGUACGAAAUUCUCAACAAGCAGAUUGAUAGUGAUCUGCUUUCGAUAACUUGGACUGCAGAGGAAACACAGCUCUGAAGAGACAACGAAGCUCAACAAGUCUUAUCCACGCAAGCUUGUCUACCUGUGCCAAACCGUCUAACCGAAACAGAACAGCACAACGCAACCAGCUCCAGCCCACCCCACCUCUUCAACAACAGAGCUCACACACCAUACAACAUAACCUAAGGGCUUGCACUGGGGCAGUAAAUGCCAGGACUGCGAAGAGUAAGCCACAAAAUGAAAUGCAAACCGCAGGGUCAAGGUCGAGCUCCGGACGCAGCUACAUGACCAUGCAGAAUGCUACGCUCUUUCCAUGCAGGCUUGGGCAACAUGGUAGAAGGAAAGACAGACGACUUCGGAGGCAGGGGCACAGUGGACAGCUCAGCUUAGCUCAGCACAGCACUGUAGAGUGAGACGCCGUCAGUGAGCAUCAAAUCACGCAUCCCACUUGAUGAUCGCCGUCAUUGGACUGCACGAUAAUUCUCACACGGUCGACGCCGCUCUCGGGCAUUUCUGGAGGUGUGACGGCGCGCCUCCCUAGUCACACGUCGUCGCGGGGUGGCAGGCCGCAACCUGACGCCAUCUGACUGUAUCUGACCGUAUCUAACGUUAUUUGACGCAAUUAGACGCCAAGAGACGUGACUGGACGUGACGUGACGCGACAUGACGCGACGCAGGGGGUAGUGGCCUUCCAGCGUCACUAGAAUCCAUAGGCUAACGCAGCGGCACACACACUUGUAUUUCGUGUAUUCUUCAUGGGAACUUGAACAGGUUCAACAGUAAAUGCAACACUGAAGAGAUUAAAAGACCUUUAAAAUAUGCCGGUAUUAUGCUGAACUCAUGACGAUAGUUUUUGGUGAUACAUUGUUGAGUUUUUUUAAGAAAAGAUUGGAAGUGAAAUUGGCUGUUUAAAGGAUUGAGAUGCAUGACUGUGUAAUGAAUUAAUUGUGGGAGUGAUUAUUUAGAAGGUUUACACUGGAACUGUUUGAUAUAAAAGUGGUUGUAAUCACGUUUGAUUGUUUGUUUGAUGUGUUAGUUCUAUCACUAAUCCAAUCAAAUUCAGUGUCAUUAUCAAAUAAAAAAUAGAAUUAAUGAUAAUAGCUUUAUUUAUGUUAGAUGUUAAAAUUGAUUUAGAUAAAUAUACUUUUAAAGCUGUAUUAUUAAUUAUUAUUGAAUCAAAAAUAAUAUCAUUCAAAAAAGCAUUGAAAUAAACAACAUAUAAUAAUGAAAAUAAGAAUAAUACAUAAAAGUUAACCUCAUCUCUAUCUUAUAAACCUCAUUAGAAUUGCUUAAUCAAAUAAAUUUAUGGUUGAAGUUAGCUUUGAAGUGGCAUACAAAUAUGGUUGCAAUUUCAUGCCAUUCACACAUUUAUUAGUACCACACUUAGUAGUUAAUUGAAGAUUCUAGAUUUUAUGCAUGAAGAAUUAAAUUAUACACAAAGAGUUUAAUUGUAGAGUUGGAGAUUAUGUUGAUACAUUGAUAUGUUUUGUGAUGAUUACAGCAAAAAAAUUCAUAAGGAAAACUUCUAUUAAGAAAUAAUACUAGUACCAUGCAUCCUUGUUACAAUAAAUAGAAUAAGAAGAAGAGGCAAAAUCCCUUUUGUUACAACUUCAAGAAAGAAAAAUUUUCUAUAGUUUAUCAAAAAGCAAAUAUGUAAUAAUUUGUUACAUAAUUUGUCAAAAAUAUGCAAACAUAUAGGCACGAGAGUGUCAUUGUACAAAAAAUUCUUUUUUGACUACAACAUCAUUUUGGCAAGAAUGCUUAAUACAAUUUAGUGGUGAAUGUGAAUAGCAAGUUGGCGUAUUAGAGUAUUGAUUAUUCAAAUUUAUUCUUUUAAUAAAUUGCAUUGAAUUCUAAGUAUUUAAAACAAGCUGAUCAAGAAAAAUAAGAUCAAAUAAGUAUAUGAUUGAUGCUUAAGAAUAUCACCUUGCAAAUCUAUAGAUAUUAUUUUUUUCUUAUUCCAAAGUCUAUAGUCAUUGUACACCUACUAGCUUCAAUCUAGAUACUGGCACAAACUGAAGAAUUUUAAGUAUUGAAAAAUUUCUAAUCAUAAGAGUGAAACUUUGAAGAGAAGCAUUUCAAAUUUAAAAAGCCAUAAUAUGGACAUCAAUUGUGUUCUUGUAAACAAAAAUGAAGCAUUUCUAUGGCCUUCUUUUAGGAGGCAAGCAAGAUUAAACUGCUAAUCUAUUAGAUUAUAGUUGAUUGCUCUAUCACUAAGUUAUACCAAGAAAUUCCUAUUAAAAUUAAUUUGUAAAAAUUAUAGAUUUAUAUGCAUAGGCACUAGUUUAUAUGGCCAUCAAUUGAAUUUGCAACCAUUGAUUCUAAUCCUUAAUCUAAAAUGUCUCCUACUUAGAUUAAAAGAACAUAAUCCAACUUCCAUCCAUAUACAAUAAUUUUUACCUUGGAGGUUUCUAGCCAUUGUUUUUUAGUGUAUUAGUGUUUUUAAAUCUUCUUAGAUAAAUGUUAUAGGAUUUGUAAGUUCACUUACAUAAUUUUCUUUGAAUACAUUCUUUCACUAUUCUCUUUGUAAUAUUUUACUUUUGCUUCUACAAGUAGAUUGUUAAUCUUAUUUUGUUGUACCUUGUCAAAGAAGUUAGUUGUGUUGGAGCUGGAUUACUUGAUUAAGUCCGAUGUAGUAAUUCUUGCAUUGACUUAGGUAAGUAAUCAUUGCUGUUGUUUGAAUUGUUGUAUAUAGACAUUCUUUUUUGUAUUAGAUCAAACAAUAUGUAAAAUUAUGAAGGACUAAUGGCUAUAAUCAUCUUUGAAUUCUUUUAUGGCAUCUUUUUUUCUAUUUGCAAUAGUAGGAUGCAUGUUAUUUUUACUUUGAGGUAUUUCUAAUGUUGAUCUUAUUUUAAAGUUUGUUAAUACUUGAAUGACUUGAAUUAGAUCUUAUAUUAUAUAUUUUUAGUCAAAAUCAACUCAAUUAUUGAUGUCUUGUCUUUCAAUUUUUUUCCAAGAUUUUGUAAAUAAUAUAUUUAUAGUAUUAUUAAGUAUCUCUAUAUGGUUGUUACUUCUUUCUUUAAUUAACUGUGGUUGAUGAAAAUUUUAGGAGUCUCUCAAAGAUGUUGGACUUUUUUUUAUUUAUAAAGUUAAUAUAGUUGUAUUAUGCAUGACAAGAUGUUGAUAGAGAAAGACCUUAGAUAGAAUGGACUUUCAGAUAGAUUGGUGUUAUGGUGAGGCAAAGAUAUAUGUAUGUUGUCAAUCAUAUCUUAUAUCCAUAUUUUGUGGUAUAUUCAAAGAAUUUCACUUGUUUAAAAGUAUACAUCUUUUUUUACUCUUAGUCUUUGGAAUCCUAAGCUAAGUUGAUAAUUAGAGAGUUUCUAUAUAGCCAAAUUUUGUAUUCUUUAGCUAGUAAAUUUGUAGGAUUAUAUCCUACUAUUUUGUCCUUGUGACUAAAAAAUUUUAUCAUAAGAAUUAGCUCUAGUAUAUAGAUCAAUAUAAAAGUUUUUAUACUUUAUUUGAUUAAUUUCUCUAUUGUUGCCAUGUAAUAUUUGAUUGCUUUUCAUAUGCCAUUCUCUUUUAAUUGUAAGUGAUAAAUUACAGAAAUCGAUUAUUUCGUUUAUGUUAUAACUCAAUUCUUAGGUUGCAAGAGGAGAUUUUUGAUGAGGUCACAAUUGGAGAAAAAAUUACAAAGUAGAGGGUAUUAUGUACUCAUUGUUUUGGAUUUGAUAUAUGUAGUAAGGUCUUCUUAGAUUUUUUAGCCUCUAAUUUUUUCUUGCUAGAUAUCUUUGAUUGAAAAUGUAUUGUUGAUGUUUGAAGUUGUAAAAAUUGAGUUGAAUUAUAAUUCCAUUUAUUCUUUAUUAAAUUUUAAAAAGAGAUGAUUGCCAAAUAUUAGUUGCGUCAAGAUUUUUGUUAGUAUUAUUAGUUGUAUUUGUAUGAAAUCUAUUUUGGAUUUGUUCCAUGUCUUGAUGAUUAUUUUUCACAAUGAUGUAGCAUCCAAGGAGGCCUUGUGGAUAUAUAUGAUCUUAUAGAUAUUUUGUGGCUAUCUCUUCAAGCUAAUUAUUCUUGAUCUUUUCUAAUUUAUACUGGAUAAAGAAUUUUCAAAGUCAAAUCCUAGCUUUAUUUCUCAAAUAAGUAACUUAGUAAUUGGUACUUUUUUUAUAUUUGAAGAUCUAAUACUUUGAAUCUCUCAAUUAUUGUGGAUUGUAUUACUAUUUUUCAAGGCACUUUGAUUCUAAUCUUGUUACUUAUGGUUGCUCCUCAUAUAUAAUUAUAAAGUACUGCUUCAAUUUAUAUAAAGAUAAAAAUUGAUAUAUGUACAUAUGAAUAGAGGUACUAGAUGGUAGCAAUAAUUACCUAAUUUGCUAUUAGUAUAUACCUUACAAAUAAAAAUAUUUUUGGUUAUUAGUUGAUGACACUUUGGUUGACUACAGUCAUCAUUUUGGUCUAAAUUUUCUCUUGAUUUAGUUGAAAUCUAAUCAAGUAUUUUAGAUAACUUAUGGAUUGUUCUUUUGCGAGUCAUUUCAAUCUAGCAUCAGCUUGUUGUUGCCAUGUCCUAUUGAUACUUAUUGCCUAUAUAUCCACAGAUUUGAUCUAGUUGAGUUUUGCUCCUAAACCAAAGCAAAACUUUGUAAGUGUUUGUAUUGUAAUAUUUAAGUUGUCUUCUAUUCCUAUGAAAUAUAGUACAAUGUCAUAAUAUAACACAACUAAUAGGUAAAAGAGUAUAGAAAUUAUUAUAUUAUAGAAGAUCUUAUUUCAAAAUAUUAUAAUAAAUUAUCUUAGAAAUAUAGAUAAUUUUCAAAAGGGUAGUAAAACUAAAAAGUAUUAAUAUUAUCUUUUAUAAAAUGGCCUUCUAUUUACUUUAUAGGGCCAUAGAUAAGGUAAAAUAAAGUAAAUUAAAAAAUUAAAUAAUAUAGGCAUAUAUAAGAAGAAGUUAAGAGUAAGUUUUAGCAAAAUUUACCUCAAGAAGCAAAGAAUUGAUAUCCAAAGAUGACUAGUUGUCAACUUGGGUUGAAAUCAAAUUCCAAGGUACAAAAUCAAACUUUGGGAUUUUUUUAAAGAUUAAAGAAUAAGAUUUGAUAGAAAACUUCAUAGAAUUUUUAUAAGCAUUGAUUUUGUAUGAUUUGGAUCUAUAAUGACUUUGUAAGAGUUUUACAAAGUCAUGAUCAUUUUGGAUGACUUGAGUUUUUGUGAAGUAAAAUAGAGUUGACGUUUUGGAGAAUUUAUAGCAUUUUAUAAUAGAUCUAUAAGUAAAAUUUUGUAGAUUAAUGGUUAUAGUUGUGUUUAAUAUGCAUUAUGAAUUUUAGCUUGAUCUAAUAGUUGAAUUGAGAAUUAUUGAAAUUUAAGUGGGUCGGGGUCUUGAAAAGUAGGAUUUUAGGUCUAGUGAAGAUUUCUAAGAAUUAUUCCAAUCUAUUAGUUAGAUUGGAGUAAAAGUUAUGUAUAUAGGUAGUUAACUUGUUUUCUUAAAUAUAUGAGAAUUUUGAAAUCAAUUGGAUAAGGCACAAAGGAGAUGCUAGUACUAGAAGAUCAACAUUAAGGUUGGAAAAGAAGGCCAACCAACAUCCGAGCAGAUUUUAGGGUUUUUUUAUAUUUUAUUUGGUAAGUGUGAUUGUGAGUCAUCAAAUUGAUUUACUAAUUAUUUUAAGAAAAAGAAUGUAUAUAAAGUACCAAAAUUAAAAUUUUUAGGUGAAGAUGUGCUUACAAGAUGUUAAAUGAAGGAAAACAAUAUUAAUAGAAAAGAAAUGGAAUCUUAGUAAGUUUAGAGGCAAUUGUCUUAGUUGAUUUAAUAUUUUUUAUUUAUUAUUGAGUAUUAAAGAAUAUUUAAUAAGGUCAAUAUUUAUAUUGGCCUUCUAUCUAUACAUAUUAUUUAUAAGAAAAAACUAUAAAUGUUAGUUAGUAGUUAGAAGAAGCAUGAGAAAGAACCUCAUGUCUUUUUAGUUAAUUAUAUAGAAAGUAGGAUUUAUCAUAGAUUUAAAUUUAUUUUAUUACUAUAAAAAUCAUUAAAAUAAGAAAUCAUAUUUUUAAAUUGAUAUUAAUAUUAUAAAACCAUUGUAGAAAUUUUAGAAUUUAUUUAGAAUUUAUUUAGAUAUUUUUUUAGGAAUUUUAGAGCAAUUUCGAAGCCUUUGGUAAAAAUGAAUUUUACCACCUUGGAAGCCAUUAUGAAGAAAUGAAGCAAGAUUCGAAGGCCAUACAACAUUCUUAGAUUCAUAGGAUGUUUUUAAAUACUAUGGUGAAGUCAAAAAUGCAAAAAAAUAAAUUUUACUAGUAGAAAAUAGGAGGACCAGUUGUUAGUUUAGUCCUUAUAGAAAGGGAGGUGUACAAAUCCCAUUUGGAUUGUAGCACCUUAGGUAUAGGUAGGAAGAUAAGACAAAGGCCUCAAGUCCUCCUUAGACAACCAAUAUAUACUACUUCUGAGCCUUUGUGAGGCUUGAGCUCCUGAUCUCUUAAGCAAGUUAUCCUCGAGGUAAAAUUAUUUAUUUAAAUUUUUAUUCAUUUACUUGUUAUUUUUAAACCUUCAUAGUUUAGUCAUAGUAAUUGAGAUUUAUAUGUUUCUUAUACCAUGAAAAAAAUUAAAAAAUUAGAUUUCUAAAAAUAUAUUUUUAAUUUUUAAUUUUUACUUUUUAUUGGAUAAAAACUUAAUGAACAAAUUGUGACUAAUUUUGUAGUCUACAAUUGCUUGAUUGCACUUGUUCUUUUUGUUUUGUGUUUUUCUUCUUUUGUUCUUAUUCUUGCUAAUUUCAUUUUAUACCACCCAUUACAAAUAAUUCUUAAUAGAGGCUAUGUUGUAAUUGGAUUAAAGAGUAAAUUUUACAUUCAUAGUAAUUGUCUUCAAAUUUGUUGUGUUUAUUUGUAAUUAAAGAUUGAGAGGUGUGUAAAAUUUUAAAAAAGAUCAAUGAUUUAAUUAAAAGAUAUUGAGGUUCUAAACUACCUUAAGAUUUUAUUUAGAUAUAAGAUUUGAUUAGGAUUUGAUUUAGGAUUUAGGAUUUGUCUAAGGUUUGGUUUAGGAUUUAAAAUUUAACUAGGGUUUGAUUUGGGAUUUAGGAUUUGAGUAGGAUUUGAUUAGAAUUUGGAGUUUGUCUAGGAUUUGGUAAGGAUUUGGUUUAGAGUUUAGGAUUUGUCUAAAAUUUGUUUUAAAGUUUAAGAUUUGAUUGAAAUUGGGUUUAGAAUUUAGGAUUCGUCUAAGGUUUGGUUUAGAAUUUUGGAUUUGUCUAGGGUUUGAUUUGGGAUUAAAAGUUUUUCUAGAGUUUAAUUGAAGUCCAUUCAAGUUUCAAGUAGGAUCAAAUAAAAACUUAAUUGAGAUUUAUUUAAGAAAUAUUGUGAUUAUUUUAAUAUUUUUUAGGACUUCUUAAGGAUUCUUGUAAGAUUUAUUAUUGAUUAUCUUUCAAUUCUUUUAAGAUUUUUUAUUGUUUCUUUUGUAAUUUCUUUAAGCUUUCUUUUGAAUUUGAUUAAAGCUUGUUUAAUAUUGUUAAGGUUUAAUUAAAAUUUAUUUAAUGUUCUAUUAGAAUUAAGUUUUUGUUAUUGCAAUUUCUAUUCUAUCUACCACAGCCAGGUGCCUAGUAUACUUUCAAGCAAUACUUCUUGUAAUAUGUCAUAUUUGGUGAAUUUGAUGUAAAAAUCUUGAGAUGGAAGAUAUUUAGAAUUUUUUCUUAAAUUAUUUGAAUUAUGGUGAAGGAAGGCAAGAGAGUUGAAGGAAGGGCUAUGGGUGGUGCUUCAAUUGGAGCUACAAGUGGAGGAACUAGUGGAGGACAAGGUAUGUAUUUUGAUCCCAAUUCCACAAGCAUGUUUGAGGCUUUUGCCUUAUUAAUGCAAGAACAACAAAUUAAAGAGCGCAAAGAGGAUAUGACAAAAAAAAAUAUUAUAAGCGGUGUCAUGAUGUAACAAAGAUAAUAAGUGAAAGGGUGAAAAAAAUAUCAUGUUUUGAGGAUCUCACUUCAAAAAUAUUAAAGCAAAGUAUCUUAGAAAAAUAGAUAUUAGUCAAAGGGUAGAAAAAUUAAAGGUGCUAAUGCUGCCUAUUUACAAAUUAUGCUUCUAUUUACUUUAUAAGGCCAUAAAUAAGGCAAAACAAGGUAGAUUAGAAAAAUAAAGAAUAUAGGCAUAUGUAGGGAGGAGUUAGGAGUACAAAUUAGUAAAAAUUACCUCAAGAAGACGAAAGUUGAUACCCGAAGAGGACCAGUUAUGAACUUGGGUCGAAAUCAGACCCCGAGACACAAAACUGCGCUCUGACGGCGACUCAAGGACUAUUUGGCAGAUCGGAGAGUGGAAUUUUAUAGAAGAUUGAAUAAGGUUUCUAUGGGUGCUAAUUUUGGGUGAUUUAAAUCUGUAUUGACUUUGUAAUAGCUUUGCAAAGCCAAGGUUUGUUUCAGAUGACUUGGGUUUUAUGAAAUAAAAUAGGAUUUAUGUUUUGGGUGAUUUCAAGAGUUUUAUAAUAGAUCUACAAGUAAAAUUUUGUGGGUUUAUGGUUUUAGUUGUGUUUAAUAUGUGUUGUGAAUUUGAGCUCAAUCUAACGGUUAAAUUGAGGAAUAUUGAGGUUUAAGUGGAUCAAGGUCUCAAAAAAUAGAAUUUUAGGUCUAGUAGGGGUUUUUAAGAUUUCGUGCAAUCUACUAGUUGGAUUGGAGUGAAACUUAUGUGAGAGGAUAUUAGACUUUUUUUUCUAUGUGUUUUAGAAUUUUGAGAUCAAUCGAACGGUAUAAAAGAGAGAUAUUGGCUCUAGAAGAUUGGCAUCAAGAUUGGAAAAGGAGGCCGGCCAAUACCCGAACACAUUUUUGAGAUUAUCGUCAAUUUGGUAACUCCGAUCUUUUUACCAAACUUAGUUUUUAAGAAGUGUACAAAAUUUGAGUUAAGAUCAAUGGUUUAUUCAUUAGUUAUUGAGGUUUAAAUCUGUUAUAGGAAUUACUAGGGUUUGAUUAGGAUUUGGUUUAGGAUUUGGUUUAGGAUUUGGUUUAAGGUUUGAUUAAAGUUUGGAUUAGGGUUUGAUUUAAGGUUUAGGGUUUAGGGUUUGGAUUAGGAUUUGGUUUAGGAUUAGGAUUUGGUUAGGAUUUAGUUUAGGAUUUAGAAUUUGGAUUAGGGUUUGAUUUAGGGUUUAAGGUUUGAAUUAGGAUUUGAUUAGGGAUUAAUAUUUGAUUAGGGUUUGAUUUAGGAUUUAGGGUUUAGGAUUUGUAUUAGGGUUUGGUUUAGGGUUUAGGAUUUGGAUAGGGUUUGGUUUCGGAUUUAGGAUUUAGAUUAGGGUUUGGUUUAGGGUUUAAGAUUUGGAUUAGGAUUUAGUUAGGGAUUAAGAUUUGAUUAGGAUUUGAUUUAGGAUUUAGGAUUUAUCUAGGGUUUGAUUAAGGUUGGAUUAGGAUCAGGAUUUGGUUAGAAUUUAAGGUUCUAUUAGAUUUUUGUUAGGGUUUGACUAAGUUUUCUUUAAUAUUCUUUUAUAUUUCUUUCAGAUUUCCUUGUGUUUCUUUUAUAACUUCAAUAAAAUUUAAUUGAGCUUGCUUAAUGUUUGAUUAUGAUUGUUAAUGUUUAAUUGUAAAUUCUCUAUAAUCCUAUUGGAUUGUUAGGACCUUUUGUUGCAAUUUUCUUUUACCUUCCACAGCCAGGUGCUCAGUGCAUUCUCAAGCAAGACUUCACGUAAUACGACAGCGAUUGUAGAUAAGAUUGAUUAAUUUGAAGAAAAGGAUAUUAUUAAGUAUUUAAGAUACUAUAUAAAAGAAAUGGAGUUGAAGCAUGUUCCAAAAAGAGAGAUGGUUCAAUUAUUUGAAUUAACUAUUGCACUAGAAAUAAGAAAUCAUAUAAGGUCUAUUAUAAGAUAUUCUAUAUGUUCAUAGAAAAAAUUAUCUCAAGCAUUGAAGUAUUAGUUUUUCCUGAAAGAUUGUGAUGGAGUUACAAAGAAAUUAUUUUUUGAAUCGAUUGAAAAGCCAAAAAAAGAUCUUUUAGUAAUAAAAUUAUUAAAAAAAUUUGAAAAGAAAAUUCUUCUCUAUCAAAGAAAGAAAGGUAAUUAUUAGAGCUGAGUAAAGUGGAGUUCUUUUGUCUAGUGGCUAAUGGAGAGUAGUAAGAAAAGUUAAAAAUCUUACUUGAAGUUAAAGAAGAAGAUGAAGGAUUGACAACAAAUUAGAAAGAAGUGGAAGAGGCAGUAGGGUUGUUGGCAAAAAAAAAAAAAAAGAGAAAAGAUAGGAUGGAUAUUCAAAGACUAUUACAAGCAUCUAAGGUAAAAAUAUCUACUACCUAUCCAACAUCUUUGAUUCAACCUUUAAUGGCUACAUCAAAGAAAGAAGAAAUGAACAUCAAUGAAAUCAUAUGAGAGAUGAGAGAUUUGCAAAUAAAAUUUGUAAAACUUAAAGAGAAGGGCCAAUCAUCAAGAGUAUUAACAAGACAAAGAUUAGAACGAAUGGAAGUUGUAGUACAUAGUUGCAUGUGGUAUAAGAAUACAGAUCAUUCAAGAAGAGAAUAUGAGGAUUUUAUAGAGGUACUACAUAAAAGAAUUUUUUAAAUUUAAAGAUAGAAUGAUUCACGUAAAAGAAAGUAAAAAAAAAAUAGAAACAAAUUUUGAUAAAGGAAGAAUGGAAGUGUUUGUAGAAGAUGCUUAUAAAGUGCAUACAAUCUCAAGUAAUGAAUCAUCAAUAUAUUGGAUGGAAGCAAAUCUUAGUAAAUAUUUAAGUAUAAAUCUUGAGUUUCCAGAGGAAUCUAGUACUUUGUAGACAAGUGCAAUGCGUUUUGUUGAAAGGUGAAAAUUUAUUAGAAAUAAUUUAAAAUGUGUUGGUAAUAACAUUUGACAAAUUAUUAGAUGGGAUGAUCCAAUAGAUGGAUUAUCCAAGCAUGCUCAUAUUGCAAAGAGUUAAUAUUAAGCAUUAAUAGAAGUAAAAUGAAAGAGAGAUAAAAAUAAUGAAGGGCCUUCAAAAAGAACUACAAGGAGAGAAAAAAUAUGACAAUAAAAGAAUCCUAUAUAUGAAGAGAUAAUAGAGAAUAUUUCUACAAAGAAAGAAAAAUUAAAAAAAAUAAAUAAAGGCUCUUGCUUAUAAAUUACAAUCAGAUAUUGAAGUUGCUAUAGAUUUUAAGAAGAUGUUGGAAGAAUGGAUUUUAAGUAGAAAAGUUGAAUUCACAAUUGGUGAACUUUUAGAAAUUCCAAAGUGUGAGUUUUAUGAAGUUAUUAUUGAUACAAGAAAGAAAGAAACAAUAAUAUAUAGGAGACACUAUGACAUCAAUGUACAAGGAACAAGAGCAAUAGAAAGCAAUGAAGAUGAAAAAGAUGAAAUGUAAAAUUUUGGAGAUAUCUUGCAAGUAAGAUUUACAAAAAAAGAAAAUGUCAUUCAAGCUUCUUGUCAUUAUUUUAAAAAUCAUUGGGCAAGGGCUACUAUAGAAAUUUUGAUAAAAUUGAGAGAUUUAGAAGAAUUAAUUAUGAUAUUGAUUGAUCAUGGUUUUAAAAUCAAUUUUAUGUUAAAAAAAUUAUAUAAAAAAGGAAAAUAGCCUAUUGAUAUUGAACAUGGAUGGAUGAUAAGAGCAACAAAUAAUUUAAAAGAAGAUUUGUAUGGAGCUUGUCCAAAUAUUAAGGUGAGUAUAAGAGAUGUUAUUUAUUAAUAAAAUUUCUUUGUGCAAGACAUGUCUACAUAUCCUAUUAUAUUGAAACAACCAUAUAUUAUUGCCACACAAAUGGAAAAAAAAUAAUGGAUGAUAGUUCAAUCUAUAUAAGAAUAAAAAACCAAGAUGCGAUAAAAUCAAUUCAAUUUUUAACUAUUUGUAGUGAUCAUGAGUGUUUGUAGUGAUCAUGAGAGAAAAGCCAUUAUCAAAUGAGAAAUUUGAAGACCUUGAGGGUUUUUACCACACACUAUUAUGAGGUGAAAUUGUAAUGAGUUAGAGAGAGAAAUGCUCCUACUUAGUUUCGAAGAAGAGAUUAUCUACUAGACUUAUUAGGAUGAUAGAAGAUUUUAUAUUAUCUUUUAAGACUAUUGAUAAGAUAAAAAAGAUGGAAAAAUGUUAUAUUAAAAAUAUUGACCAAAACUUGAAAGAAAAUGAAAAAUUGGUUAAAAAUAAUUUUUUUUAAAGAGCAUUUGAAGAAGUAGGUUUUAUAAAUACCAUUAGAGAAUUAAAUUAUUUAUUACAAUAUAGAUUAUAAAGAAAAAAUAGAGUUAUUCAUGUAUGUUCUAAAGAAUUUUAUGAUAAAAUUUAAGGAUUUAUAGAAACUUUAAGUCAACAAGAGGUAUGUAUUGAAACUAAGUAUAAAUUAAUCACAAAAAAGAUCAAACUAGUGGCUUUGCUAUUACCAUCAGAUUGUGAAGUAAUGAUAAGUAGAGCAUUCAUAAAACCAAAUUUAAGGGAUCCAAAGAAGAUAGGAUAUAAAUUUAUGGAUGCUACAUUAGAUGGAUUAAAUGUUGAAUGUAAUGGAUUUUUGACAAAAUAUGAAGAAAAAUAUUUUAAGGAUAUGCUUUCACGUCAUGGAAAGGCUUUUGUAUUUGAGUAUGUUGAUUCAAGUAUUUUAGUAUCCAUGGUUAUUUUUACUAUUCUUCAUGAAUCAUAGAAUUUGUGAUGAAUUCCAGUAUCAAGAGCAUAUUUAUCAAAGUUAGUAGAUUUAUUCAAUAAAAAGAUAAAAAUAAGAAUUUUAGAACCAUCUAUGGCAUCUUAUUCUAAUCAAUGGUUUACAAUACCAAAGAAAAAUGGAACAAUAAGAUUUAUAUAAGACAUACAAUUGUGAAUAAAGUGACUAUUAGAAAUAUGGAUUUAAGUCCAAUUGUAGAUGAAUUUGUAGAAGAAUUUUCUAAAAAAAAAAUCUAUUCAAUAGAUGAUCUUUAUUUAGGAUAUAAUCAAUUUUAAUUGAUAAUAUAAAGUAGAGAUUUGACAACUAUGAAGAUAUUAAGGAUUGGUCAGAAUGUGUAAAUUAUUAUAAGUAGCUACAAAUUUUAUAGCACAUAUGAUGAAUGGAAUGUAUAAGAUAUUAAGAGAUUUUAUUUCAAGAAUAAUAAUACCUUUCUUAGAUGAUGUACUAAUCAAAGGAUAUGAAGAAGAAAGAAAAGAUGAGACUUUGGAUUCAAAAGGAUGUAAGAAGUUUGGGGUAGAUCAUAUUGAUGAUUGUGAGAAGUUUUUAAAAAAGUUAGAAGAAGUUCAUUUAACCUUAUCGGUGGCAAAAUCAAUGUUUGGAGUAAAAACAAUUUUGGUGGUAGGAUACAUGUAUGGGUCAUAUGGACCUAAGCCAAAUAUGAAAAAGAUUGAUAUUAUUAAAAAGAUGAAAAAAUGUAAAAAUACAAUGGAAGUGAGAAGAUUUUUAAGAGCACGUAUUUUCUAUCAUAUAUGGAUACCUCAUUUUACACAUAUAGCAAAUCCAUUGUAUGAAUUGUUAAAAAAGAAUAAAAAAUUUCAAUAGGAAUAAAAACAAAAAAAGGUGUAGAAAAAUUGAAAUGACUUCUUUCUUCACUUCCAACUUUGAAGAAAGUAAAUUAUGAAGUUGGAAGGCUAGUGGUAUUAAUAAUUCAUGUAAACCCAAUUAGAAUAGGUUGGACAGUUGGACAAGAUGAUGAAUAAGGGAAUAGAUAUGUAGUAAGAUUUAGAAUAAAGGUUUUGAAUAUUACACAAAGGGCAUAUGUGGAAAUCAAAAGAGAAUUAUGGGAUGUAGUAAUAGCUAUGAAAAAUAAAAAAGAGUACUUUAUUGAGACAUCAAUAGUUAUAGAAAUAAAUUAUCCAACUUUAUUAGGUAUGAUAACAAGUUAUUCAAGUUUUAAUAUUGCUAUAUUAAGAUGGAUAGCAUAUAUCAAAUCUAUGAAUUCAAAAUUUAAACACAUUAAAAGGAAAGAAAAUUUGGUCACAGAUAUGUUAUCAAGAACAAAGCAUUAUGAUGAAGAAGAGAUGAUUGAUUUGGAAGAUGAUGUGGCUACAAAAUUUUAUACUAAUGUAUUAUCAAAGAAAGAAGAUGUAGAUUUGAAUAUACUAUUAAAAAUAUUUUUAAGAGAUUUACAUGAAGAUGAAUGAAAAGAUAUUGGAGAGUAUUUAAGUACAUUAAAGCAUCAAGAAGGUUUGGCAGAUCAAGAAUUUAAGAAAAUCCAUAAGAAAAGCUAUGGAUAUUUUUUACAUGAUGGAUAUUUAUGCAAGUAUCCAAAAAAGAGAGGAGAAGUACUAAAAAAGGUGAUAUAUGAUUUAGAAGCUCAACAAAAGAUUAUUAAAGAAUUUUAUAAAAUUUUAUGGGCACGACAUCGAGGUAUUUGAAUAACAUUUACUAAGUUGAGAGAAAAAUAUUGGUAGAAGGAUAUGUACAAAGAUAUAGCAAAUUUUGUAGGAUCUUGUAAAACUUAUCAAAUUUAUUCAAAUAUUUGGCAUUGAGAUAGGUUAUACCCAACAUAUCCUUUGGCUUUACAUUAUAAGUGGAUGGUGAAUUUAGUGGCAAUGCCUAUAGAACUUGAAAAAAUGAAGUAUUUGGUACUUGCAUAAGAAGAUUUAUCAAAUAUGAUUGAAGGACGAGCAUUAAGAACAAAGAACUUUGAAAGUAUAUGCCAAUUUCUAUUAGAAGAUGCUAUUUGUUGUUAUAGUUGUAUUGAAAAAAUUACAAUAGAUAGGAGUGAAUUAGAUGCAAAAGAAGCACAAUUUUUUUUGAUAGAAUAGGAAUUAAAAUUUCUUUAACAACAAUAUAUAAUCCAGAAAGUAAUGAUAAAAGUGAGCAUGGAUAUUCACCUAUUAUUAAGGCAUUAGUAAAGGCAUGCAAUGGCAAAGCUCAUGAAUGGCCUAGACUACUACUAUUUGUAUUAUGGAUAGAUUGUACAACUCAUAGUUUAGUAACAGGUUAUAUGCCUUAUGAAUUAAUAAAUAGACAAAAAUCAUUAAUGCCAAUAGAAGAUGUAAUACCUACAUGGGAUAUAUUGCCUUGGAAGAAUGAUCUCAACAGAGAAGAACUUUUAGCAUUAUAGAUUUAACAAUUAGAAAGAAGACCUAAUGAUAUUAAAGGUGCAAUAGAAAGAUUGAAAGAAGUAAGGAAAAAGAAUAAAGAAAGAUUUGAUAAAAAACAUCGACUAUGACCUAAGCGAAUUAAAGAUGGUAAUUGGAUGUUAAUUUAUGAUAGUAGCUUGGACAAUCAAUAUAGUACAACAAAAAAGUUUGGAAAGAGAUGGUUUGGACCUUAUAUUGUUAAAAAGGCAUACAACAAUGGAACAUACUUAUUACAAGAACUUGAUGGUACAAAAUUGAAGAUACCUAUAGCAAACAAAUGAAUUAAGUUAUUUAAACAAAGAAAUGAAGAUAUUUGUUUUGAUGAAGAAUAAAUCUAAUAUAAGAUAUUGAGAUGGGAGUAGAGGAGCAAAUUGAAGAUCAAGAAUUUGAACAAGAUGAAGAGCGUUCUACAUUAACAUGUUGAAGAAUCAUUGCCACAUGCCGGAGGCUACAUAAAUUCAAGGAAGGUGGAUGUUGUGAUGUAAUACGAUUAAUAUAUGAAAGAAUAUAGAAAUUAUUAUAUUAUAAAAGAUCUUAGUUUAAAAUAUUAUAAAAAAUUAUCUUAAAAAUAUAGAUAAUAGUCAAAAAGAUAGUAAAACUAAAAAAUAUUUAUAUUACCUUUUAUAAAAUAGACUUCUAUUUAGUUGAGAGUGCUAGCCCUAAUUUCAUUGCAUAAAUCCCAAGUUGCUAAUACAAAUCCUAACUUUCAACAACAAUUUCUAAGUCUCACCAAAUCCUAAAAAAUCAGCCUUAUGUCUUUGAAACAAGCUCCAACAUAGCUCUCAAAUUUUAAUCUCCAAUCUUCAAAAUAAAAACCUAUUUUGCCUAAGGCAGUCAUUUUAGUAGCUGGAGGUCUGAUUAUGACCUUGUCUCAUAGAUGGUCAACCCUCGAGUAUCAAAUUAACCUAUCCUAAGGAUUUUUUAAUCAAAUCCUAUCCUCAACUUAAUCUUAGUAUCAAUCUUACUAAUUAUUUAUCUCUUCUAAUCUGUUUUUAUUAAUUUAUGGUUUUUUCAAGGUAAUAAAAGAGUUUCUAUAGCCUAGAAGAUAAAAGUACCAACCAACCUUCAACCUACUAACUAUUUAGAUACCUUGAAUUAUUAUUGAAUCAAGAUAAUUAGAAAUUAAUUAGAAAUUUAAUUUUGAUUAUAAUUUCAUUAUAUAGUCGUAUUAUAUCACGACACUAGUUAUCAACCUGGAUUGGAAUCAAAUCAUGAGAUACAAAAUCACACACCUAUGGCCACUUUGGGGUUUUUUUGGAGAUUGGAGAAUAAUGUUUGAUAGUAGACUUGAUAGGAUUUUUAUGAGCAUUGGAUUUGUGUGAUUUGGAUCUAUAAUGACUUUGUAAGAAUUUUAUAAAGUCAAGAUUGUUUCAGACUCGAGAUUUUGUGAAAUAAAACAGGGUUGUCAUUUUUAAAAAUUUCAAGAGUUUUAUAGUAAAUAUAUAAGUAAACUUUUGUCGAUUAAUGGUUAUAGUUAUGCUUAAUAUGUAUUGUGAAUUUUAGCUUGAUCUAACAAUUGAAUUAAAGGUUAUUGAGGUUGAAGUGAAUUACGAUCUUAGAAAAUAGAAUUUUAGGUCUAACAAGGAUUUCUAAGAUUUCUUACAAUCUAUUAGUUAGAUUGGAGUGAAAGUUGUGUACAUGGAUAAUGUCACAGAUAUAUCAUUGAAGAAGAUUUGAGAAGAUUCUAAAAAAUUUUAGAAGGUUCUAAAAAAAUUCUUUUAGAUCUUGAAAGGCUCCAAAUAGUUCUAGAAGAUUUCAAAAGGUUCUAGAAGGUUCUAAUAGAUUCUAAGAAAGUUCUAGAAGGUCAUAGGAGAUCUUGGAUGGUUCUAUGAUGCUUUAGAUGAUUUAGGAAGUUGCUGAAGAAGGAUCUUAGACUUGCUUUGUUUUCAAGCCUCAUGGAAACUUCUCAAGAAGCUUCUUAUCACCUAGUAUAAAUAAGAAUCGAGGCUCAGGGGAUCAGUAGUCUCAACAACUCACUUCUUGUGGUCUAGUCAAGACCUUCUUGCUUUGUAUCUAAUAAUUAUUUUGAUGUUGAGCUAGCUCUAUUUUUUGGUCUUGAAUUCUUAUCUUGUAUACAAUCCCUAAUAUUUUGUCAAGACUACCACAAAAUAAUAUUAGAAGCUUGAUAUUUUUUAACUGAGAAUGGAUUAAGCCUCUUCUUAGAAAUAACAUAAUAUUCUAGAGGUUGCGGAUUACCCUCCCUUAGACUAAUAUUAUUCUUUUCUUAGUAUUCUUUUGGAUUUUUUUUAAUAUCAUAGAUCAAGUUUUUAUUUUUUUUAAAAAAAUUUCUAUGAUAAAAGGUAAAAAAGUCAAUAUGAAAAAUUCCAAAGUGAUCAAAUUAGUACUUUUAAAGCAUUGAAGAUCAAGACAAAGACUUUAUCAAAGUAGAAUGAAGAACUAUACAUGACCAUACAUAAUGGUCAAGGAACCGGAGUGUCUCAACCACUACAUCAAACAACAAUAGAGGUUCCUAAUUCUCAAAUGACUAUAUCUGUUUCAAUAAAUAUGGAAGGUGCAUCCACUCAAAGUAAUGAUUUGAUAAAAAUAACAACAAAAGAACCAAGGAUCAACCUUCCAAAAAAGUUCAAUGGCACCUGCUCAAAAUUUUGUGGCUUUAUAAACCAAGUAUGACUAAUCACCUUGCUUCAACCUCAACAAUAUUCCACUGAAGUAUUUUAUGUUAGUUUAGUUGGAACCUUGCUCUAAAGUCAAGCUUUAUCUUAGUUUAUUCCAUCAUUUGAAAAGAAUUCUCAUAUAUUGUAUAAUUUUGUAGCAAUUUUGGCAGCAUUUAUAGAAGCAUUUGGUGAACAUGAUAAGAUUUAUUCUACAACAACUAAAAUUUGAAGAAUUUGAUAAAGAACAUGUUUUGUAUGAAUGUAUGCCUUAGAUUUUUGACAAUUAGCAUGUGAUAUAAAUUGAAGAGAAGAUGCGUUGUUGGGGUAGAGAGAGUUUGCCUCAAAAAAGUGCUGGGCUUCUAGCUGCCAUUAAAUGCUCAAUCAAGUCUAAGAUAUAAAAAGUACUAAGUUUAUAUAUAUAAUAAUUUUUUUUUAGAGCAAUUACAUCAAAACAUAAGCCAAGUACCAAGAAAACAUCCAAAUAUAUGAUAAAGUAUCUUAAAACCUUAUAUAUCCUUGUGAGAAAUGUUUCUCAAACUUCAACAGCUCAUAUCUCACGAUCGGACUGUCCAAACAAUCUAAAAUUUUAUAUAAAGUACUGACAUAAUUUCCAAAACUACCACAAAAAAAUUCAACUGCAAAUUCGUUACGAAUCUUGAGAUAUCACCAAAAUCCUAAUAGUAGCUUUAAACCCUAGCUUACAUACAUCUUCAUGCUAUUUUCUUUAUAUCUCACAAAAUAAGUACUCAAAUACCAUGAAACUUUGAUCUAUAGCUUGUUAACUUAAUAACUUAUAUUUAUAAAACUUUUUAGUCCAAAAUUCGUCCAAAAACUCAAGAUAUAGCUUUAACCAUUACUAUCAAUAAAAUGACUUACUUACUGCCUUUGAAUUACAUGUGAUGUCUUCAAUGCCCUAUAACUCUUUCAUCUAGAUUUGGAAUUUAUUAAAUAAUAUAUGUAAAGUAUAGCAAAGAAAGUUUUCUCUCCAAUUCUAAUUGCUGAUAUUUUGUUGCUCUCAGUAUGCAUAUGUUAUGCCUCAAAGAGAAGACAAUAGGUACAAAUUUGACACCUCAACUUUGAAUACUUAUAUCUCCUUCACAAAAACUCAAAAUUACACAAAUUCUUCAUCCAAAUUAUAUCCAAAAUCUUGAACUUGCUAAUCCUAGCCUCCAAAGCUAGAAUGACCUUGAAAAAAAACCCUAAUUCCUAAUAAGGCCUUGGGCAGCCUUCUUGAAGUCCAUUGGGCAUAGCCUUCGACCAAUAGGAAUGAAGAUCUCCAUUCAUUGCCUUCAUCCACCAUGCCUUGCUUUCACCCUUUCCAAUAAGCUUCCUACUAGUUAAAAAUUUCUUCUUUAGGCUGUAAUCUCCUCUCAAGGCUUCAUACUAACAUUUAGGAUCUAUAAUUUUUUUGAAAUGCUAUAAUUAAAAAAAUAAAAUUCAAAAUAAUUUUUUUUUUUAAAUCCACUCUCUUUAAAUUAAUCUAUUAACCAUUCUAACACAUAUCAAGACUUAUGAACAUAUUAUAUGUUCUAACUAAUUUUUACAUACUAUAAGCAUUUACAGUAUGAUAAUGUCCUUGCAGCUAAACAUUUCGGAUUCAAUAAGACCUUAGAACUUUUGUCUAGAGACUUUUGGUGGCCUAAAAUAUCGAAGGACGUUAAGAAAUUUGUACUAUCAUGUCAUUCUUGUUCAAGGUCAAAGAAUCCUUGACACCAAUGAUAUAGACUUUUUUAACAUAUAGACUUUUUUAACCCCUUUCUAUUCUAAGACAACCAUGGUCAUCUAUUUUCAUGGAUUUUAUUACAGAUCUUCUACCAUCAAGCUCAUUUGAUACUAUCUUUGUAGUUGUUGAUUGUUUGACCAAGAUGGCAUAUUUUAUACGUUGGAAGAAAUCGAUUAUUGGUGAAGAGAUGGCAAAACUCUUUAUUGACAAUGUCUAUUGUUACUACAGUGUUGUAUAGCAUGAUUUGCAAUCUUAGAAUACAUUAGAUACUUAGUUGUAGAGAGUUUAGCUUUGACUUAUAUAUAAUGUCUUAUCUCCCAAAAUCCAUUUAUUUUGUAAAAAAAGCUCAAAUUAUUACAAAACCCUUCAAAAUAUUUUCUUCUCGUAAAAGAUAUUUUUACCUUGAAUUUUAAAAAUUCAUAUCUCUUGAUCCAACUAUUCAAUUAUUUUCAAAUUUCUAUGUAAUAUAGAUUCUAUUUUUAUACUUUAUCACAAAAUAAAUAAACUAUAAAUCUAUAACUAAUUUUUUGAUAUCUUAGAAAUCCUAGCACGUGUUCUAAAUAUUAAUCUACAAGCACUCAAAAACUAUUUUUUUUAUAUUAAAAAAAAUAAAAAUUCAAAUACCAUAAAACUUAUGUAUAAAGUUUAGUAAUAUAAAAAAUACACAUUCUUAGAAAUUUUUGGCCAAAAUCUUGUCAAAUUGCAAAAGAUAUAGCUCAAAACACAACUACUAGCAAUUCAGGUCACUUACUACUCCUUAGAUUCCAAGUGCUGACUUCAACUUCUAAUAUCUCCUUUAUUCUAGCUUAAAAUUCAUCAAAAAAUAUAUGUAAAAUAUAGCUGAAAAAGUUUUCUUUCCAACUUCAAUUGCCAAUCCUUAAUUGCUUUUUGUACGCAUGCGUUAUAUCCAAAAGAGUGAGAGUAGGUACAAAACCAACACCUUGACUUUGAGCGCCUAUAUCUCCUUCAUAAAAACUCCAAAUGAAUCAGAAAAUAUACCAAAACUAUAGCUAAAAACUUGAAAUUACCGACUUUAGCUUUUGAUGAUCAAAUUCUUCCAAAAAACUAAUCUUAAUCUUUAAUAUGGUCUCAAGUAGCCUCCUUGAAGCCCAUUGGUCAUGAUUUUUGACCAAUAGGAAUGGAGAUUUAUAUCAUCUAUCUCCAUUCAUUCAUAUGGAUGUUUUAACUACCUUUUUUUCUACCAAAAUCCCUCUUCAAUCUCUUUUCAUAUACGAUUUAUAUAUUAUAUGUCUUAAACACCAAAUUAAAAAACCAAAAUAAAACUUUAAGGGUCAUCAAUGUCUAACAAAGGUGACUCUAAAUGUAUAAAGUAACUACCUAUAAAACCAACUUCAAAAGUCACUAUCAAAAGAAAAUAAAGUUAUACAAAUUUUAAUAGUAAUCCUUUUAAACAACCUCUUUUUAAAAUAGUAAUUUAACCACAUUCUACAACCAAUUAAAAUCCAAUAACAUGGCUAUCAUCAUAUUGCUAAGUAAAUUGUACAUUAAAUAUAUAAACACAUUAUUUUCUUAUGGUAGCUAAACCACAAUACAACAUUGGCUUAUUAGAUGAUAUUGUAUCAAAUCAUCAGCCACAAUUUGUAUCUAUGUUUUGGAAGGCACUCUUUAAGAUUCUUAAGGUUGACAUCAACCUUUCUUUUGCCUUCUAUCCUCAAAUUGAUGGUCCAACUGAGUGAAUCAAUUAAAUUCUUGAGCAAUAUUUGAGAUACUUCAUCAAUUAUUAACAAGAAGACUAGACUUCCUAUUUGUCAUUGGCAGAGUUUGUAAAUAAUAAUAUAAUCCAUGCAUCUAUUUAAUAAAUGCUAUUCUAUUCAAAUUAUGAUCAUCUUCCAAAGUUGGAUAUGAUAGAGCCUUCAUAGUUGACAAAUCCAGCAGCAAAGGAGUUUGCUACAAAGAUGGCCAAACUUCAAACAACUCUAAAGAUUCACUUAGAAAUGACUUAACAACAUUAUAAGCUAGUACUAGAUGAAUUGAAGAAUGAAUAUCCUCCAUUUCAAGUUGGUGACAAAGUAUGGCUUUUUGAGCACAAUAUAAAAACCAACAGGCCAUGUGAUAAGUUGGACUACCGUAAGUUGGGACCAUUUGUGAUUCAAAAACAAAUCAAUAAUGUAACUUAUCACUUGGAGUUACAUUCAUCUAUAAAGAUUCAUCUAAUUUUUUAUUUUUUACUUUUAGAAAGAUAUAAAGAAUUGAAUAUAUUAAGUUGAAGAUAAUGACCACCUCCUAUGGUUGAAAUCAAUGAUCAUAUUGAAUUUGAAGUAGAAGAGGUAUUAAAUUUAAGGAUAAGACAUAGAAGGCUUCAAUAUCUCGUCUAUUGGCAUGGAUAUGAUAUCAAUGAUUGCACAUAGAAACCAAAUGGAAAUCUUGUAAAUGUACAAAUGAAGGUUCAAAAGUUCCAUUAAUAACAUCCAUCUAGACCAAAAGCAGCAAAAUGAAGAAUAGUAGCUUAGUAACAUGGCUUCAUCAUGAAGUUUUUUAGUUCUUGGUCUCAUACGAAAGGAGAAGAGGCAAUUUUUUCAAACGUUUAAGAACAAUAUAAGUCAGUAGUUUGAGUUCACAACCAUAGCUUAUUUAUAUUCUUUUGGUCUUGUCUAUUUUGUGUGAUGAAUAGUCAAAAAAUAGACACCUUCCCAGUCAUACCAUCUCAAUCAUGUAACUUGCAAAGAUGACUCUGAAAUGAGAGGUCACAUGAACUAAGAAGACAUCAUAAGAUAUCUAAUAAUAGGUCACUAAUAAUUAUAUUUGAGAUAGAAUAUGCCUAUAAAAGACCCUCAAAAGAAGUAUUUACAAGAAAAUUUCAUAACAAAGAUACCAAAAUUCAUAGGAUUGUUGAGGAGAUCUUUAAUCUCAACAACUUACUUCUUAUGGUCUAGGCAAUACCUUUUUAUCUUGUAUCUAGUUAUUCUUUUAAUAUAGAGCUAACUCCAUUUUUUGGUCUUCAAUCUUUGUCUUGUAUAUGGUUUCUAACAAGUAAUAGACUUAUUUUUCUAUAUAUAUAUAUAUAUAUGAGAAUUUUGAGAUCAAUUGAAUAGUACAAAAGAGAAAUGUUAGCAUUGAAAGAUCAACAUUAAAGUUGGAGAUGGAGGCCGACCAACAUUCAAGCAGAUUUUAGGAUUUCUCUUUUAUUUGGUAAAUGGAUUUAAGAUUAAGGAUUUGGUUAGGAUUUGGUUAAGAUUUGAUUUAAGGUUUAGGAUUUGAUUAGGAUUGAAUUUAGGAUUUAAGAUUUAUCUAAGAUUUGAUUUAGAGUUUAGAAUUUAUCUAAGAUUUGAUUGAAGUCUAUUAGGGUUUUAAUUAGGAUUAAAUUAGAACUUAGUUGAUAUUUAUUUAAGAUAUAUUGUAAUUAUUUUAAUAUUUUUUAGUGCUUCUUAAGGAUUCUUUUAAAGUUUAUUGUACAUUAUCUUUCAACUCUUUUAAGGUUUUUUAUUUUUUCUUUUGUAAUUUCUUUAAGAUUUCUUUUGAAUCUGAUUAAAGGUUAUUUAGCAUUAUUAAGAUUUAAUUAGAACUUAUUUGGUAUUCUAUUAGAAUUAGGAUUUUGUUAUUGCAAUUUCUAUUUUACCCUCUCCAGCCACGUACUCAAUGCACUCUCAAGCAACACUUUAUAUAAUAUGACAAUGGAAUCAUCCACAAAUAUCAUAUUGGCUAUAGUAUGACCUCAUAGUAAUCUAAGUCCAACCAGCUUCUUCUAUAGAUCCUCUAAUAUGAUGUGGAGAACUUCACAAACUAGUAUAUAGAGAUAUAGAGCUAGUUGAUAUUCUUGUAUGAUUGAGUAUUGUAGUUUGAAGGCUUUAUCAUAUUCUUUAUUCAAUGAUACAAAUCAAAUAUAUUGAUAUAUAACUCUAUAAUAAUUUUGAUCCAUUAAUCAUUGAAAUCUAUUGUCGAUUGUUGUAUGGCAUGAUUUUCUAUUUAAAAAUAUACCGGAUAACUAACUAUAGAAAGUUUAGUUUUAAUUUAUUAGACAAGUUCCAAUAAGUGAUGUAUUCUUAUUAUAAAGGCUAAAUAAAUACAAUAAUAUCAAAAGAUAUUCUAUUGAUAAAAUCCUUUUAUAAUUAAGAAGCUUUAUAUAUAAGGUUUUCUAAAGUAUCUAGAAAUGCCUUUAUAUCCUUUGCUAUACUAAGUCAUAAUUAAAUCAUUUGCCGACAAGCUUGAUUUUCAAUAAGUUCAAAGAAAAUCCAUAAUCUCUUUGCAAAAAUCCAUCUUUAUACUUUAAUUUUGCCAUAGCUCUUUAUCUUCAUCUUUAAUAUGUACGUAAAGUAUUACUUUCCAAAAACUCCUUUACUUUACAUAAAAUAUCCAAAUUAUAGCAAAAUCCUUUCAAAACGUUCUUCUCUUGUAAAGAAUUUUUAUUUGUGAACUUUAGAAAUUCAUAUCUUUUAAUUCAGCCAUUCAAUUUUUUUUGAAUUUUUAGAUAAGUUAGAAUUUAUUUUUAUAUUUUAUUAUAAAAAAUGAGCUAUAAAUCUACUACAAAUUAUUUGGCAUCUUAAAAAUCAUAGCAAUUACUUUAAAUCCCAAUUUACAAGCACCUAAGUACUAUUUUCUUUAUAUCUCAAAAAUCCAAAAUUCAAAUACCACAAAUUUUUUGUAUAAAGUUUAGUAACCUGAUAAUAUACAUUUUUAGAAAUAUUUAGCUAAAAUUUUAUCAAAUUGCUCAAGAUAUAGCUCAAAAUACAACCACUAGUAAAUUGGAUUACUUACUACCCUUAGAUUUUAAGUGUUAACUUCAACUUCCUAUAUCUCCUUCAUCUUAGAUUAUAAUUCAUUAAGCAAUAAAUUAAAAGUGUAGCCAAAAAAGUGAUUUUUUCUACUCUGAUUGUCAAUUCUUCAUUUCUUUUUGUAUGCAUGUGUUAUAUUCAAAAGAGUGAUAGUAGGUUGAAAACUAAUACCUUGACUUUAAGCACCUAUAUCUCUUUUAUAAGAACUCUAAAUUAUACAAAAUUUGUACCAAAAUCAUAGCCAAAAUCUUAAACUUCUUGAUCCUAGCCUCUUAAAUUCAAAUUCCCUCAAAAGAAUAAUCCUAAUUCCUAAUAAGGCCUUAGGCAGCCUCCUUGAAGCCCAUUAGGCAUGAAUUUUGGCCAAUAAGAAUGAAGAUUUUCAUCAUCUAUCUCCAUUCAUCCAUGUAGCUGACAUAACUACUCUUUUUAUAUUAAAUCUCGUCUCUAAUUUUUUUUCUAAUAAGUUUUGCAUAGUAUGUGUUCUAAACAUCAAAUAAAAGAAACAAAAUAAGAUUGUAAGAAUCACUAAUGUAUAAUAAAAGUAUCUCUAAAUAUAUAAAAACUCUUUUUAAACUAAUUACUUCAAAGUAAUAAUCUAACUAUAUUUUGUCACUACUUAAAAUCUAAUAAUAUGACUUUUACUUCAUUGUAUAAUAAAUUUUAUACUAUAUAUAUAUAUAUAUAUAUAUAUAAUUUUUACAUAGUAAUUGAACUACAAUAUAAUAUCAUAUUAUUUUCUAGAAUAUGAUCUAGAAGACCCUAUUGAAGACCUUUUUAAAGUCAAGAAUGGAAAGAAUGAGGUCUUCAUUAUUCAAGGCCAUCAAUUCCAUAACUUCAAAGGCCAUCAAUAUGUUAUUAAAAAUGCAUUGCCUUUUGUCAAAUGUAGUUUGAGAAUGACUAAUGAAAAAAGGUAUAAAUUCUAUCAUUUUGUUAGUAAUGAUUUUAGCUAUAAAUGAAUUCUAAAAUUUUUAUAAAUGAAUCUUAAAAAAAAAAAGAUUUCAAGUUUUUAAUAUUGGUUAUAUCUCUUCUUUUAUAGAAUAGAUUGAUUUUUCUUAUGUUUAAUAUUUUGCAAAAGAUGUAAUUCUAAAAGGUAUCUUUUAUCAAGGUAAAAAAAUCAUCUUUUAUUUCUAUGAUUAGCUCUUUGAAGAGAUCUAUUAUAAUUUCAUCUACUUCAAGAAUCUUCUGAACUAAUAGGUUAUUUAUGGCAUUUCUAAUUUCUUUUAUUUUAGAUCUCUUAUAAGUUUAUUUUAUUUAGAAGUGACAUUGAUUGUAAGGUUUUAAAAAUAAUUUUAUUGAUCAACUUGAUUAUUUUCUAUCAUAUUAUCUUUAAAGUAUAAGAUGGUAUUGAAUUUAUUUAUAAGAGCUUGUAGAUUUCUUUAAUUAGAUAAUAGUAGUUUUUUUACACUUUAUGUGUGACUAUUGAAUUAAAACUUCUAUUCUUUGUCUGCUAUCUCUUUAUAUAAAGUAAUUAUAUAGAGCUAUUCCGAGGGCUUCUAUUUCUCUUGUCUUGUGUAUUUUCUUUGGUUUUAUUACAAGUGCAAAAGCAUUGAUCUUGGCUCAACUAUUAUGUACUUUGAUCUAACUAAUUUAUUUUUUUUGUUUCAUUCUAAAAUAAAUGUAUCUAAAAUUGAUACAAUUUAUUCUCUAAGAGCUAUAGAUUUUUUUAUUAGUAGAAAACUAGUUAAUGAUAUAUUUGAAUCUUUAUAUAGAAGCUUUUAGAAUUUUUUGGUCUAAGUACUUUAUGUUGGCUCUGAGUUUUACAAAGUCUCAAAGAAUAACUACUAAAUCAAGCUACCAUUGAGUUAUAUCUCUGUAGGUGGUUUGAUCACUCUUCCAUUGCAUAUGCAUCAUUCACUCUACUAUUGCACUAUAGUUCUAUAAAUGGACUAAUUAUUCUACUUCUAAGCCACAAAUCUGUAUUGCAAUUGAUAAAUUCUAUUAUAUAAUGAUACAUAUUUUAUAUUGUUUUGAAAGUGACAUCCUUAAUAAAGCCAUAGAGGCAUAGAUCAUAGCAAACUGCUUAUCUGACAAACAUAUGUUGCAGUGCCAAUGACUAGCUGAUUAGUUCUAGAUUGCCAUUGCAAUUUUGUUGCAAGUAAUCAAAACUAUCUAUAUAGCAUGGUUGUUGCUUUUGUAUUGUCUUAUAGCUACUUAGCAAUAGUUGUUACUUAAGAGGGAAUAAAUUAAGUAGAUGUCUAUUAAAUUGUAUCUUUAUUUAUUAUUAUUAAUUCUCUUUUUAUUUUAUCCUAAAAUCCUAAAAUAUUAUUGAUGUGCUUGCCAUACUCUUUUAUUGUACAUCUUCAUAUUGCAUCUAUGUUCUCUCUAAGAAUUUUAUCUAAGAUGUUUGCAAGGAUAAGAUUCUAUUAAUAAAUUAAUAAAGAUCUUUAUUAUUUUAUAUUAAUAUUAUAAAUAUUCAUAAUCAAUUGUUAGUAUUUUUUCUUGUAGUAUUUUAAUGGAUAUAUUAUUAAAGUUUUUGUUUGAUUAUUGGUGUUGGUUAUUAUUAUUUGUGGUCUUGUCUAUGGCUACACCACUCUUAAUACUCUUUUAUAAAAGUAGCUCUAAUUGAUGUUGUUUUGAUGUGGUAAUAGACCUCCUCACUAUCUACUUAUUAUAUCCUCUAUUUUUAGGAUGUAAUCUUCAGUUGUUGCUUUGAUUGUUGACAAAGAUCCACUUUGAUAAAUUAUUCUUUUAUAAUUAUGUAUAAUAUAGGGUGGAAUAUUAGUCUUGAUUCAUAUGUAUUUUAAUAAAGGUGGAUGACUAACUUUUUUGAGAUGAGUCAUAGAGAUGGUACAAUCUUUAAAGUGAGUAGAUCUUGGUUUGCAAAGAUAAUAUGUUUUGUCAAAAUUAUAGUAUAUAGUGUCAUUUUUUGAUGGUGUAUAUUUGAAGGGUAAUUAUAUUAAUAUAGUUCUUUCCAAGAUUUUAGUCUCAUCUACACUAUUGUCUUCCUCAAUUUAAAGAAGAUGUGGCUAAUAUAAAAUGGAUUUCAAUCUUUAUUAAAGGUUUAUUUUGUGUACUAUACAUUCCAUAGAAUUAGGAUUUUUAAAAGAAACUAAGAGAUUUCUUUGGAAUUCAAAUUAUGAUUAUAAAGGUCAAGUUUUUUUAUGAGGAUUAUUAAAUUAAAGUUGCUGUAUAGAACAUUUGUGCAAUAGCUGAGGGGUCUUAAAAAGGCCAACCAUUGUAGUAUAUUGUAGCAUUUCUAGACUAAGCAGAUGGCUAAGUACUCUCAAAAGGCAUAUUGUAUAAUUUCAAUUUUUCUAAUGUUUCAUAAUUUUUAGCUCAAAUCCACUUUCACGGCCUUAUGCCAUUGCUCUAUUAAGAUAUCUUUUGCUAUUGUAUUAUAUGAAGUCUUCUUUGACAAUGCAAUAAGCUCUUGUUUGUAAAAAGUAAAAGAAAAUUUCAACAAUAAGUUCUAACAAUUCUAAUACAAUCAUAUAUAAAUUAUAAUUAAAGCUUAACAAAUAUAAUCAAGUAUUGAUUAUGUUCAAUUAAAUUUUCAAAUAAAUUAUAAAAGAAAUAAAAAAAAUUCUAAAAAAAUCUUAAUUGAAUCUUAGAAAAAUCCUAGAUAAAUCCUAAAUAAAUCCUUAAAAAUCCUAAUUAAAUCCUAAAAAAAUCCUAAUAAAAUCUUAGACAAAAUUUAGUCAAAUCCUAGACAAACCCUAACCAAACUUUAGACCUUAAAUCAAUCUUAAAUCUUAAAUAAAUUCUUAAAAAAUCCUAUGGUAAAUUAAAACUUUCAUAAUUAAUAAUCAAAUUAUUGAUUUUAAUUCAAAUUUUUCAAAUCUUCCAAUAAUCAAGCUGAAAAUAACCACAAAUAUUUUUGAGAAGAUCAAACUUACCAUAUAGAAGAUAAAUCCUAAAAUCCGCUUGGGUGUUGGUUGGCCUCUUUUUCCAAUCAUGAUGCCAAUCUCUUUGAGCCAAAAUUUCUUAAUUCUAUUAUUAAAUACCUCCAAAAAUUCAUAUAUAUGGUAGAAAUUAAGUCUAAAAUCUAUGUACAUAAAUUUCACCUCAAUCCAAAUAGUAGAUUAUUAAAGAUCUUAGAAAUCUUUAUUAAAUCUCAAAACCUCAUAUUUAAGACUCCAAUCUACUUAAACUUCAAUAAUCUUUAAUUUAAUUAUUUGAUCAUGCUUAAAUUUAUAGCAUGCAAUAAAAAAACUAUAAUUACAAAUAUAAAAAUUAUCACUUAUAGAUCUAUUAAAAAACUCACAAAAUUCUUUCAAAUAUAUAUAUAUAUAUAUAUAUAUAUAUAUAUAUAUAUAUAUAUUUUUCACAAAAUCAGAUUUACCAAAAACAACCUUGACUUUGUAAAACUCUUAUAAAGUCAUUACAAGCUCAAAUUGCUCAAAACCAAUACUCUAAAAAAACCGAUGAAGUUUUCUUUCAAAUCCCACUCUUUGAUUAAUUAAAAAAACUCCAAAGUCGCCAUAGGUGCUUAAUUUUGUGCCUCAAGGUCUGAUUUUGAUCCAAGUUGGCAACCAGUCAUUUUUGGGUUUUAUUUAUUUUUCUUGAGAUAAUAUUUCUUAAAAUAAAUUUCUAAUUUCUUUAUAUAUAUGCUUAUAUCUUUUAUUUUUCUAAUCUAUCUUGUUUUGUCUUAUUUAUGGUCCUUCAAAAUAAGAAGAAGUUCACUUUAUAAAAAGAUAAUAUUUGCACUUUUAAUUUUAUUAUCUUUUGACUAUUGUCUAUAUUUCUAAAAUAAUUUUUUACAAUAUUUUGAAAUAAGAUCUUCUAUAAUAUAAUAUUUAUUUAAUCUUUCAUAUAUUAGUUGUGUUACAAUAUGACAUUGCUACGGUGACCAUCUCAUGGUUGCCAUUUUUUUGAAGAUUCAAAGAUACAACAGGGUCUUGUAAACAAGGUUACAUUAGACAUUGUCAAAGUUGUGUGUAUAUAUUAGGCUCUUUUGUACUAAUUGACCUUUGCUCUUGAUGCAUUAAAAAAUAAAUUUAAUAUUUGUAUUACUUUAGUGAGGUUCUUUGAAGUAUAAGCUAGAUAUAAUCUAAUGUUGUAAAAAAAUAUCUAAUUUUUAAUCAUGAAGUAAUUUGAAAGUUAAAAUCUUUGAACAUUCUUUUAAAAUUAUCCAACAUAUAUCUUAAAAUAUUGGCUAUAAAUAAGAAUAAGUAUGGUGCCAAGGAACAAUUCUAGCAUAUGAAUCUCUUAAGGUUGAAAAUAUGGUCUUAUUAUCCAUUGAUCAUGAUUUUGGUUUCCACUUUUCAAUUUAGUAUCAUUACUAUGUUGAUCUAAGAAUUCCAAAAGCCCAUAAGAACUAAGGUUGUUUCUAAAAAGCUCCAAUUAAUAUGAUUAUAGGCUUUAUUAAAGUCUAAUAGUAUUAGCACUAGAUCUUGGUGGCUCUCUUUUGUCCAUGAUAUUGCUUCAAAUAUAAGAAAUAUAUUAUUAAAAAUAUGACGUCUUACUACAAAGUAUAUAUAUAAAGAAAUUAGAAAUAUAAGUGUAUUCUUGUCAAUCUAUCAAAGACAAGAACUCAAUGAAAGUAAAUAAUCAAGCAAGAUUCUUUCAAAAAAAAAUAUGACAAAAUAAAAAAUAAAUAAAUAUGUAUAUUGAAAAAGAAAUUAGAAUGGCUAUUGCUAAAAGAUAAAAAAAACUAGAGACUCUUAAAACCGAACUAGAAUCAAAAAAAGACUUCAUAAGAAUAAAGAAGACUUCACUCUUGCCUCUAUAUAUACUAUCUAUCUAGGAUCUAUGUGGUGAUGUUCUAUAAGACCUCUAAAAACGUGUUGACUUUGCAUAAUACGUAUCUUAACUUGUAAGGCAAAUUUUCUAUAUAGGCACCAUAUUAUUAGCUUGUUUUAUAAGCUACUAAUAUAUGUGGCACGUAGUUAGCUUGUUGACUAAGUUUCUAACCUACCAAUCAACUACAAACAUAAAUAAAGUCAAAACAACAUCUAAAAAGCUUUUAAAAAGCUUUUCUAGAAAGUGUUAUGAAAUUAAUUUAUUUUUAUCUACUUUUACCUAUUUAUAUUAUUUAGAUAAAAAUUACAAUAGAUAUAUAUAUCGAUGAUAUAUGAAGCUUUUUUACAAAAUAUGCUAUUAAAUUAAACUAUUUUUACAUAAUUUUAUUUAAUUAUAUAGAUAAGUAUUAAAAUAAGUAUAUAUGUCUAUGAUAUUAUUUUCUCUUUUAGACAUAAAUUCCAUAAAGAAUAGUCAUUAUACAUUAAAAAAAUCCAAAAUGCAACAAAUUAUGUUUGCCACAUACCUUGAUCUUUAUUCUCUUUCAAGAUGAUUAAUAGUUGUGAGUGGAUUUUUUUCUCCUCAUUUAAAUUUGAUUUAAUUAGAUAAACUUAGAUUAGAGUUCAAUAUUAAUUGAUGUGGAGAUGAAAAUCAUAUAUAAGAUAAGAAAAAAAAAUGAAAUAAUAAUUAAGAUUAAUCCAACAAUACAACAAGUUAGUUAUAAAUUUUUAAGAUUUAAUUUUUAGCAUUUGUAGUUCAUUUAAUGAAAUACCUUCCAAGACUUAUUCCAUCAAACUUAAACUCUGAAAAUUACAAAUUAGAAUAAAAUAAAAUAAAAUAAACAAUGAAUACCAUGCUAGAGUGUUAAUCUAGGGCUUUCCAUGUAAAUCAAAGUUCUACAAAGGAAGUUAUCUACAGAUGAAGUUUUGAUGACAAAACUUCACCUUGAAUUGGAAAUUCAGUAAUAAAUAGCCUUAAAUAUUUAAGUUCAGCACUAAUAUGAUAUAAAGAUUUUUAAGAUAAAAGAUGAAAUUUGGAGAACUAAAAAAUUAAAAAUAAAAAUAAAAAAUAAAAUUAAAAUUAAAGUUAGGAUUAAUAAUUAAAAUUUAAGUGAAAGUUCAAAAGAAAUAAAAGUAAAAGUUGAAGAUUAAAAGUAAAAGUUUAAGAUUAAGGUUAAAAAUAAAAGUUUAAAGUUGAAGGUGAAAAGUAAAAAUUUAAAUUUUAAGGUUAAAAAAAACAAGAAAAAAUUAAAAGAUCAGAUUAAUUUUUAUUUUAUCCUUUAGGGAUAAAAAAGGAUAGAAAGAUAAGAAUUUAAGAUUAAUUUCCAAAGUGAGGUAAAAAGUUCUUUGAAAUUAUUAAAUAAUAUUAAUUAAUGAUAAUAAGACGAAUGAGUGAUAAUAUAGCAAUUUAGGUGUUAAAGGAUGUGAUUAGAGGGUGAUUAGGGAAGGAAAACUUACUUAGAGUAUUUCAAGUUGAGGGCAGCAGAUCCCUUGUCAUUUGGAAAUUCGCCAACUUUCUUAUACAGCUCCUAUGUACCUGAAAUUUUUUAUGGUUAAGUUUGACUUAGAGUUGCUCCUAUCAACCAAAUUUCAUGGUGAUCCAAGAUUUGACGUCCGAGAUAUGUGUUUUCAAAGCAAGAUGACUUGAGCUGCCUAGGCAGCAGACCCCCUUCUACUUAAAAAUUUACUAAAAAUCGGUUAAUAGUUUAAAAAUAAUAAGUAUAAUUUUUCCAAAAACUAAACUUAAUAGAGUUCCUUUUUCAAUAAAUUUCAGCACAAAAAUGUCGGUAAGUACUAAGAUAAAUUUUUUCAAAGCUGGUUGAUCAAAACUGCUGAGGUAGCACAUCCCUUCUAUUUAAAAAUUCAAUAAAAAUUUGAUAUAGCUCGGAAAUUAGUGGUUUAAAAUUUGUAGUAAACUAAAAUUUAUAGUGCAUUCAUUUCAAUAAUUUAUAUCAAAGCUUAGUGAGAGGUCACCGAGUUAUAGAUUUUUUAAGCCAAUGCUCCUACUCUACCAAGGCAGUAGACCCCUGCCAUCUUGAAAACUCGCCAAAAAUUUGUCACAACUUCAAAUCAAGUGGGAAUCAUGUCAUUAAAAAGAUAAGAGUGAUUAGAAUUUUCUUAUGAAGUUUUACAAAAAGAAAAAAAAAAAAUAGAUUGAGCGAGUUAAAACCAAGGCCAUACAAGUUUAAAGAAGAAGAUUUGUAUUUACAAGAUGGAGGGACAUUUUGCCAUGGCUUUGCCACAAGAAGAUGGAGAGAGAGAGGGAGCUCGGCCAUCCAAGCCCUCUUAACCAAGUGGGAGGAGGCUCAAAAGUGGGAGACACAUCUCCACCAUCAAAAUCAAAAAAUCCCUAAUUAAGAUCAAGGGUCCUCAAUAACUCUCAGCCUAACCUUGAUUUCAAGGAUGGAAAUGCCUAGAACUAAAAAAUUAACACUUUUUUGGUAAAACUAACACUACAAAUGUCUCUAAAACAUAUUUUUAUCUUGAGAAUGAUUAUUCACAAGCCCAAAUCUGAAUUCUAAAUCAUAAGAACCAAUUAAUUUGCUAAUUUAGUUGUAAAUUUCAACUACAAUUCUAAUUCUUAUUAGCCUACUUGAAAAUCAGCAAGGGUUCUUGCCAUCAAAGCCUUCAUAAUCACCAUUCUUCAAAUUAAACUCCCUUAAGCAUGAACUCUUGGCAUAUCCAAAACCUAAUUGCAAAUUGGCCUUGAAUUAAUAUGCUUGUGAUUUUUUCCAAUUUUCCUUUUUUUCAACUUCAAGUAGUGAUUAAAAUCACUAUGAGAGGAAAUUCCACCAAAAAGUUUAGCUUGUGUCUAUCUUUUUAAGAUCAUCAUUAAUUUGAAAACUAGACUUUAUAUUUUUAAUCCAAUUAAAUUAUAAAAUUAAAUUUAGGCUUAAAAAUCUCAAAACUAAUUAAGAAGAUAGAAUAAUUAGAUUUAAGGAACUUUCUAACCAUAGUCAAAUUAGAAAUUAGCUUUUGGAUUGAAAAUUAAGAUUGUAGAUUAAUUUAAGAUAUAAUUCUUAAGAAUUAGAAGAGAAAUUCUACUAAAAUUAUAGUUUUAUUACUAAAAAAAAGAUAUAAAGUAAUUCAAGAAAAAAAAUCAUAGACCUUUUAAAUUUACUAUUUUUUCUUUUAAAUUUUAAAAUAGUCAAUCAAUAUACUAAUUAAAAAUAUCCAUCUAAUUAAAAACCUAAAGAUAUGAUCAAAAUCACAAUCAACUAAAAAACUAAUUUAGAUCUAUUAACUAGUUAUAUUACCUAUUAACUAGUUAUAUUUUAAAAUAGUCAAUUAAUAUACCAAUUAGAAAUAUCUAUCUAAUUAAAAACCUAAAGAUAUGAUCAAAGUCACAAUCAACUAAAAAACUAAUUUAGAUCUAUUAAGUAGUUAUAUUAGCAUUAAAAUUAGUAAAAAACUAUUAAAAAUUACAAAAUAAAUUGUAAUUAAUCAUUGAAGCUUUUGAUUAUGCUUACAAUAGGUCUUCUUAGCUAUUUAUAGUAUCUCAUACUAGAAAAAAAAGGCCACAUUAUUAUAUAAUUGUUGUUGAGGCUUUUAUAACUUCCUUCAAAUACAACAUUUGAAAUACCAUGAUGAGUCGUUCCUACUUCUAAUAAAAUCACCAAACAUUGAAGGUCUCAAUUAAGGUCGUAUUAUCAAACACAUUAUCAUAUGGCAUAAUUUUCUAUUUGGAAAUACAUUGAGUACCUAAUUUUAGAGAAUUUAGCUUUAAUUUAAUGGACAAGUUCCAAUAAAUGAUGCAUUUUUAUUAUAGAAGCCAAAUAAAUAUAAUAGUAUCAAAAAAUAUUUUAUUAAUAAAAAUUCUUUUAUAUUUAAGAAAUAUUAUACAUAAGACUUUUUAAAGUAUCCAAAAGUACCUGUCACAGACACAGAAAUAUAGACUCGAGAUCUAACAAGAAGUUCAGGAAGAACUGACAAGAACUAGAUUAAUCAGAUGAGGAUAACACCAGAGAGGUGAACUAGAACUCCAAGAGAUGUAUUGUCGAGACUGAAGAACUCUUCAGCUUCGAUUCCAAUAUGUACUUCUAUUUAGGAAGCUUCUCAAGUAACUUCUACCAACUAAGAAGCUUCUAGAAGGUUCUAGAGACUUGUUUCUAGAAGGUUCUAGAAACUUAUAUCUAGAAGGUUCUAGAAACUUAUAUCUAGAAGGUUCUAAGGAAUAUGUUUCUAAUAUCUUCUACCAACUAAGAAGCUUCUAGAAGGUUCCAAAGACUUGCUUCUAGAAGGUUCUAGAAACUUGUCUCUAGAAGGUUCUAAGGAUUAUGUCUCUAACAUCACCCUCUCCUUUAGCUUCGAGGUCUCUGAGAAGCAAUGUUGUUGAUCAGUACCAACACAAAAAAAUGAAGAUCUGUCAUAUAAUGUCUGCUAUGAAUUCCAACUGUUGUUUACGAGGCAAGUGGUUCAUCGGCCCUUGAAGCCAAUGGAAGUGGCCCACUCUUUCUACUUCUGACCAAGCAUGAACUUUCGUGUCCUCAUUGUGAAAUUGUCCUGCAAACAUGCCUUCUGGUUGACCAUCAUAAGUAGGCUCGGACUCAAAUACAAUCACCAGUGAUCGAUUACUCGGUAUCCUCCGUCGUCAUCAUGGUGUAGGCGGUUCUUCAUUUCGAGGUCGCCUUCGUGAACUAGUCGGUUGAGAUAAUCUGACUGACAUAGUAUCUAUUUCUUGGCUAUCCAUAUCAGAAGACCAAACUAUGGCUACUGAAAAAAUUCUAUUUUAUGUUGGAGAAAAUAACUACAUCAACUACGAAUUUUGGUGGUGCUCUCUCCCUUUCUUAUAUUCUUGGGUGAGCAAGCUUCAGAAAGAAGCUAUCGUCGAACUGGCUUAAGUUUAUGAGGAUGUUGUUGAUGAAACUCCUGUACCUUUUGUGACGCAUUGGCAAGAUUUUCAACUGGCUCCCACGUUCGCUCAUUAAUGUCGUAGCUGCACCAAUGAACAAGAUACUCCAACUUGCCUCACCUUUGCCUUGAAUCCAGUAUCUUUUCAACCUCGUAUUCCUCGUGGUUCUCGAUCUCAAUACUAGGUGGCGGACAUUGUACUCUUCCAGGAAAAGACGACUCUCGAUAAGGCUCUAAUAGAGAAACAUGAAAGACUGGAUGUACCUUCAUAGAAGCUGGUAAUUCCAGAUGAUACGCCACUGGAUUGAUUUGCUUCUGGAUGAUAAAUGGUCCCAAUCUUCGAUAGUCCAACUUAUCACAUUGUCGCUUGGUCUUGAUAUUCUGUCGAAGAAGCCAUGCUUUAUCUCCAAUUUUGAAAGUAGGUGCUUGAUUCCGAAAUCUAUCUUCAGAUGCCUUAUAGGAUUCUUGAGCGGAUUGUAAUUGAAGCUUCAACAUAUUUUGAAGCUCUGAUAGUUGUUUCGCAAAUCUUUCAGCUGCUGGAUUGUUAUUUGUUGACGGACUCAAUAAAUCAAGCUUCGGAUGAUACCCAUAGUUGGAAAAGAAUGGUGUGUAUUGAGUCGACGCAUAGAGGGUGUUGUUAUAUGUAAACUCGGCUAGCGGUAGAUAUGUGGUCCAAUUGUCUUGUUGAUAGUUGAUACUACAUCGUAAAUAUUGUUCCAAGACUUGGUUCACCCGUUCUAUUUGGCCGUCAAUUUGAGGAUGAAAAGCCGAAGAAAGCUUGAUAUCCACCUUCAGUAUCUCAAAGAGAGAUCUCCAAAACUUUGAUACGAAUUGGGUUCCUCAAUAUGAUACGACAUCAUCUAGUAGUCCAUGAUAUCGAUACACAUUAUCGAGAAAGAGCCUUGCUGUGACUUCACUAGACGAUGUCUUCUUGCAAGGAAUAAAGUGUGCCAUCUUCGUAAGCCGAUCUAUCACGAUAAAGAUGCUGUCAAAUGAGCUCGAUGAUAGAAGGUCCGUGAUGUAGUCCAUGGAAACUAAAGACCAUGAUCGACGUGGAAUCGGUAAUGGCUGUAGGAGUCCAUAAGGGCGAUGCCGAAGAUUCUUGAAUCUUGAACAGAUGUCAUAGGAGAGGACAAAAUCUUUCACAUCCUUCCACAUUUGAUGCCACCAAAAAUCUUGAGAAAUAAGCUCCAAGGUCUUUUUGAAUCCAAAAUGUCCCCUAGCUGGAAAAUUGUGGCGAGAUUGAAGAACUCGAAGUCAUGCUGGUCCUUUUGGGAUAUACAAUCACUCCUCAAAGUAUAAAAGAUCUCCCUCCACCUUGAAUUUUUCAUCAUUGGCAUGCUGCUUGAUAUCAAUGGCUACUGAAUCUUUAAUGGUCGCGGCACGUACCUGUUUCAAGAAGUCAGCAUCAAUUGGCACAAUAGUAGCGCAAAGCUGAAAUUGCUCUGGCUUCAAUAAUAUCAUACAUUAUUGAUCAAACGCUGCUUCUCCAGCCUUUGGUAUAAGAUAUGAUCUCCUCGAUAAGGCAUCAGAUAGUCCUUGCUACUUUCCAAGUCAAUAAAUGAUAACAAAAUCGAACCUAGAUAGUAACAUACUCCACCGAGCUUGAUGUCGAUUUAGAACUCGAGCCGACAUGAAAUACUCCAAAUUCUUGUGAUCUGUGUAUACGAUCACUAGUUGUGCAGUUCUUUCAAGAAAAUGAUGCCAUUCUUGGAAAGAAUCCACUAUAGCAAGAAGUUCCUUAUCGUGGAUCUCAUAAUUGAUUUCAGUAGCAGAGAACUUUCGAGAAUAGAAUGCAAUCAAAUGAAACUUCUUGUCUUCUCCCAUUUGUGAAAGUACAGCUCCCAAAGCAAAAUCCGAAGCAUCAAUUUCUAAAUAAAAGGCCUUUGUAAAGUCUAGAUGUACCAAGAUUGGAGCCGUAGUAAAUGCAAUUUUUAGGUCUUGAAACGCCUUCUCCGCUAGAGGUUCCUAUUCCAGCUUUUCUUUGCAUAUCAACCGAGUGAGAGGAGCAGCAACUUGAGAAUAAUUCUUGAUGAAGAUCCGAUAGAAGUUGGCAAAGCCAAGAAAGCAUUGUACAUCUCUUACCGUCUUCGGAACCUCCCAAGACACGAUUGCUUCCACCUUCUUGGGGUCCAUCUUCAAGCCUUCUAUAGUCGCAACGAACCCCAAAAACUCCAUCUCUAUUUGGUGAAAUAAAUACUUCUCCAACUUGGCAUAUAGUCCUCGCUCGCAUAGUUUCUCCAAGACCAAACGAAUGUGCUUUUCAUGCUCUUCCUCAUUUUUGGAGAAUAUCAAAAUAUCAUCCAAAUAGAUGACAACAAAAUCGUCAAGGUACUCUCGAAAAAUAUCAUUCAUCAUAUGUUGAAAGACCGUUGGAGCAUUGGUAAGACCAAAAGACAUGACAUUAUACUCAAAAUGGCCAUACCUUGUAUGAAACGCUGUCUUCCACUCAUCUCCUUCAUUGAUUCGUACGAGUUUGUAAGCUCUCCUUAGAUCAAUUUUUGUAAAAAUCCUUGCACGUCUAAGUUGUUCUAUGAGACCAGAAAUCAAGGAUAACGGGUAACGAUUCUUCUUUGUUAUCUUGUUGAGGCCUCGAUAGUCCACGCACAUCCGCAAUGAGCCAUCUUUCUUCUUCACAAAUAAGAUGGGUGCUCUAGCUGACGAUUUUGAAUGACGGAUAAAGUUCUUGGCUAGAUUCUCGUCGAUGUACUUCCGCAACUCCGCCAACUUCGUCUACGAUAGAUUGUAGAUUGGGCCAAAAGGUGGUUGUGCUCCUUCCUGUAAGUCUAUGGCGCAAUCAUAUGGUCUGUGUUCUGGUAGCAUGUCGGCAUUUUUUUUUUGAAACACAUCUUUAAAAUCCUUAUAUUGCUCCGGUAUACUUAUUGUUGAGAUCUUCUCCUCGGUAGUUGAAGUCGCAUAAAUGACAAAAGAUGUGCCUUCCUUGGACGAUCUUAUAAACACUCUUACUCUAAUAAAUAAGGAUUUCUCUAUUCGAGGUUUUCUACUAGGCUUACUCUUGGGUGGUUUUGUGGGAAAGGUCAUCUUCCACAACUUCCAAUCUAUGGAUGGAUUAUACUUUUCCAACCAAGAAAGACCAAGAAUAACAGGAUUUGAUGGAGUUCUAGUAAUAUUAAAAAUAAUAUGACUACUAUGGCCCUUAAAUAUCACUUCUAUAGGUUCUGAUUUAUGGGUGAUACUACCAAACAAUAAAGGUCGCCCAUCUAUGACCUGAACAUUAACAGGUUUGGAUUUUUAUACUAAAGGGAUCUUAUGAUGCUUUGCAAAUUCUUCGUCUAAGAAACAAGCAGGUGCUCCUGAAUCUAAUAAUGCUAAGGUUCUCAGUUUCUGAAGGCCAAUAAGCAAAGGAAUUGUAAAAUAAAGGGCAGGUUGAGCGAAAAGAAAGGAGCCUCGUUGUUGUUGCAAUAUUUCAUUGUCCAGCCGCAUGGUUCCUAUUGUGGCUGGGCAUCCUCGUUUUCCUGAAUAAAUGUGCCCCUAGUCUUGACAAUACGUCGAUUUUGCUUCUUGGGACAGUUUCCAACUUUGUGGCCUUCUUCACCGCAAUACAAGCAUAGAUCUUCCUCCAUAAAUCGCUUUUUUUCUUCUAGAGUAAGGGAUUUGACUCGUACCGCAUCAAUUUGCAUGUCUUCUACCUCUGAAUAUGAAUUCACGCUGCUUGCCUACAUAGUUGGGGCAUGGCAAAUCGUAUGUUGUCUUGAACGUUGAUCUUGGCGGCGUUGAAAUAGGUAAUUAUCGCACUUCAUAGCUUGGCUAAUAGUUUCGUUGAGGGUUUGUGGAUCAAGAAGAGUUAACAACAAAUCCUUCACAUCGUCCCUUAAACCCCAAUAGAAUUGACUCAUCAAUGCUUCUUCAUCCCAAUUGAUGUCGCAUGCUAAUUGCCUGAAGUCCGAUGCAUAGACUGAUGUAGAGCGCAUCCCUUGUCGUAGUGACCGGAUCUUUGUUGUAGCCCAUCGAACCUUGUCAUGUUCACCAAAUGCUUACGCAAACGCCUCCAAAAAGGUUUCAAAGUUGUUUAGUAUGGACGAUUGUUUCUCAAACAAAGGAGCAAACCAUGAUAGAGCUUGUCUUGUAAGUAAGGUUCCAACAAGCCCAACACGUGACUCCUCCGUUGGAUAGCGUUCGGGCUGUAAAACUGUUAUCAACCUGAUUUGGUUGACGAAUCCUUGAAACUUGGAACGCUGUCGUAUUACGUGCUUUUUUGCUCGAGAACGCGCCGGGCGUCUGGCUGUAGAAGGUAGUAUGGAGAUUUACCGAUAGUCAAGCAGUCUAUCAGUUUUUGACUGCUGGAAUAUAAACGACUGCAAUAAUGUACCGUAAAUCUAAACGGAUGCUCUUCGACUGCUUGUCGAAGUCUUUUUUUUUUUUUUUUUUUUUUUUUUUCCAACCGAUAGGUCUCUAGACGUUACAGAGAACCCCGAACAACCCAAACUGUUAAUCUUCAGUACCCCUUUGUACUUACAAUCUUGUAUCCACUGACUGUCUUGUUAGAUUAACCCAAUAAAUUUCAUUCACUCCGCAUACUCAAUCCUAUAGACACCCCUUUAAUCCUUCAAUCACAGACGUAACUCGAUUUUACAAAACAGUCAAGAGUAUUCAAAUCCACUUCAUUUAAAAAUCCCGAUUCACCAUUACAACACUGACUUCAGCAACGAUUGCCUCAGUCUUCCCAAAACUCUACGAAGAAGAAAAAUCCAAAUUCUAUGUCUUUCCUUCCCCGACCCGAAGCAUGAAGCUCCUCUCUCUAAUUCCCUUGAUCUUCCAAAAACCUCCAGUGAAAAACCGAACUGGUAACCUUGCAAAAGCUUGAAAACUCGCUCCCCUCCCGAUUUCCCCGAAAAAAAACCUCCCCCCUCAAAACUAUAUCCCCCCCUAACCUUAUCCUCUGAAUUUCUUCAAUCUUCUGUCAUAGAUCCGGAAUUGGCUCCCACCUCAAGCUUGGAGCCGAAAUUGGCUCUCGCCGUCAAGCUUUCUCCUCCGUUUUUACCUUUAAGAAAUCCAUUUACCGAAAACAACGUUCCCUGAAACGGCACAGAGAACAGGACAGCCUGAAACAGAAUCGAACCCCGUAAUCGGGACCACAUUGAGUCGCCCGACCAAUUCAGGUCCUAUAUUGGGAAAGAUGCCCGUAGUAACCUGGAUGUUCCCGUAAUUGGGUCAAAUUGGUCCUCGCGUCAGAUUGGCUAAGACCCGUAGUAAGACCUGGAUUUCCCGUAAUUAGACUGCAUUGGGUUGACCGGCCAAUUCAGGUCUCAUAUUGGAUAAGAGGACCUGGAUUGGAUUAUCGAAAUUGGAUCCAAUUGGCUCCUCGAACCCGUCGUAUGAAUUGGUCCUUCUCUUCCUGCUGACUCCCGUUAUUGGAAUCGAACGGAGCAUUUCAGUAUGCCCUGGCUGACUGUAACGGAGUGACUAAACCUGACCACUCAGUAUUUGUACUGGAGUUGGUUGAUGCUCCCAAUAUUCGAGGUAACUGAAUAUUAAUAAAAUUCCCCUUUCUUUUUAUUUUCACUGUAUACUCGUGUUACAACACGACAUCCACCCCCUCUGAACCUGUGCAUCCUCCGGUAUGCACCAAUUUACCCAAUUGCUGUUUGAUUCAGAAUAUAUCCCCUACGUCUUUGUCCAGUUCGUCUUGGUCACCUUCAUUAUCCAUAUCACUUUCAUCUUCUUGCUGCGGAAUCUCUAUACCUUCAUUAAGGUCUUCCAUAUUCAUCUCUGCGUGUCUUCGUUUAAAUAUUUUUACUCGCUUCCCUGCAAUUGGUAUUUUCAAUUUUGUACCAUCUAACUCCCGUAAUGAGUAAGUUGCAUUAUCAUGAACAGUUGUUAUAACAUAUGGUCUAAACCAACGUUUUGAAAAUUUCCGCAAAGUACUAUGUUGAUUAUCCAGACUAUUGUCAUAAACAAGUACCCAGUCACCUUCCUCGAUUGCUUUUGGUCUCAAUCGAUGUUGCUUAUCGAAUCGUGCCUUGUUUUGUAACCUUGCUCUUUUUAACCUUUCCAAUGCUAUCUGGACAUCUUCCGUUCUUUGCUCCAACUGUCGAAUCCUAAUAGCCAGAAGUUCUUCUCUUGUCAAUCCAUCUUCCCAUGGUAGCAUACUCCAAGUAAGUACCUUUUCUUCAAUCGGCAUAAUUGGUUUUUGACCUGUCAUAAGUUCUACUGGCAUAUAUCCUGUCACCAAACUAUGUGUUGUUCGAUCAGCCCAUAAUGCAAAUGACAAAAGCCGUGGCCACUCUUUAACCUUCCCAUUACAAGCUUUAACCAAUGCUUUCACAAUCGGCGGGUGACCGCGUUCGCUUUUCGCAUUCCCUUUCGGAUUAUAAGUAGUAGUCAGUGAUAGUUUAACUCCACAUUUUUCAAAGAACUUACGAGCUUCUUGUGCAUUUAAUUCUCCACGAUCUGCAGUGAUUUUUCCUACGCACCCGUAACGGCAAAUGACAUCUUCAAGCAAAAACCUACAAAUCCCCUCUGUAGAUUUNNNNNNNNNNNNNNNNNNNNNNNNNNNNNNNNNNNNNNNNNNNNNNNNNNNNNNNNNNNNNNNNNNNNNNNNNNNNNNNNNNNNNNNNNNNNNNNNNNNNNNNNNNNNNNNNNNNNNNNNNNNNNNNNNNNNNNNNNNNNNNNNNNNNNNNNNNNNNNNNNNNNNNNNNNNNNNNNNNNNNNNNNNNNNNNNNNNNNNNNNNNNNNNNNNNNNNNNNNNNNNNNNNNNNNNNNNNNNNNNNNNNNNNNNNNNNNNNNNNNNNNNNNNNNNNNNNNNNNNNNNNNNNNNNNNNNNNNNNNNNNNNNNNNNNNNNNNNNNNNNNNNNNNNNNNNNNNNNNNNNNNNNNNNNNNNNNNNNNNNNNNNNNNNNNNNNNNNNNNNNNNNNNNNNNNNNNNNNNNNNNNNNNNNNNNNNNNNNNNNNNNNNNNNNNNNNNNNNNNNNNNNNNNNNNNNNNNNNNNNNNNNNNNNNNNNNNNNNNNNNNNNNNNNNNNNNNNNNNNNNNNNNNNNNNNNNNNNNNNNNNNNNNNNNNNNNNNNNNNNNNNNNNNNNNNNNNNNNNNNNNNNNNNNNNNNNNNNNNNNNNNNNNNNNNNNNNNNNNNNNNNNNNNNNNNNNNNNNNNNNNNNNNNNNNNNNNNNNNNNNNNNNNNNNNNNNNNNNNNNNNNNNNNNNNNNNNNNNNNNNNNNNNNNNNNNNNNNNNNNNNNNNNNNNNNNNNNNNNNNNNNNNNNNNNNNNNNNNNNNNNNNNNNNNNNNNNNNNNNNNNNNNNNNNNNNNNNNNNNNNNNNNNNNNNNNNNNNNNNNNNUCAACAACCCAUUUAAAAUGAAUAGCCAGAGGAUACGUAGGAUGAAGACCAUCUCAAUGUCAGAUAUUAGAAUACGAUUGACAGAUUUCACAUGACUCUACAAAUGAGAGCACAUCUCGAUACAUAUUUUUCCACCAAUAUCGUUCCUUGAGUUUAUUAAAAGUAGCCCAGAUUCCUCUAUACCCUGCCCAUAAACUAUCAUGAAACUCCUUUAAUAAUUUUAGUUUUUCUUCCCUUUUGCCUAUCACUCGUUGUAGCAUCCCAAUUCCUUUCUUCGGUCUCUUCCAUAAGAAUCCAUCUCGAAGUAAAAAUCCAUAUGCUUUUUUUCUUAUUUGUUUGAAUUUUUCUGUAGACCAAUUCCCCUGCUUAGACAAGGUAUUCAAAUAACGACCAAUAUCCAAUAAUUCUCCUUCAUAAGAUUCUUCAAGAAAUAACUUGUCUUCUCUGUUGAGAUUCGAUAUUGAAUAGAAUUUCAAUCCGACAUCAUCAAUGUCUUCAACCAUUUCGUCUUCCCUCUCGUAUCUUGCUCGAGAUAGCAUGUCUGCUACUAAAUUGUCCUUUCCAGUGAUAUGCUUAAAUUCUGGAUUUAGUGACUUAAUAUAAGCAAUCCAUCUCAACAUUGCAAUAUCUGGCGUUGAACAGUUAAUAAUCAUUCCAAGCAAUGGCAAGCAAUCUGUUUCAAUUACUACUACUGCCCCAAUCAAAUAGUCCUUUUCAGCUUUCAUAGCCGAAACGACUCCCCAAAGUUCUCUUUUGACUUGCAAAUAUGCACGCUGACGAAUACUUAAAACUUUAGCCCCAAAUCGAACUGCAAAUCUACUCCCAUUCGAAUCAUCUUGACCCACCGCCCAUCCAACGGCAAUUGGACUAGCGUCUACAGUAAGAAUCACUGGUCUAUUGCACUUAUAAUCAACCUUCCUCAAUAUUGGAGGUGAUAUCAAUAAUUUCUUCAAUCUUUGCAUUGCCUGAAUAUGCCUUUCUUUCCAUUCAAAUCAGUAACCCUUGCGUAACAGUUCAUAUAAUGGAUCCGCUAUGUGAGCAAAAUGAGGGAUCCAGAUUCGAUAAAAUACACAUGCACCCAAAAACCUGCGAACCUCUGUUAAAGAACCACAAUCCUCUUUCAUCCUUCCAAUUGCAUCAACUUUAGUCGGAUCUGGUUUUCUUCCGUAAGAUCCGCAUAAAUGUCCAACAAUUACAACCUCUCGCACUCCAAAUACGGACUUCAUACCCGAUAAUGUAAGAUGAACUUCUCCAAGCCGAGUUAAAAUCUUUUCACAAUCUUGUAUAUGAUCAACAACAUAUCUGCGACACCCCCUCGUAUCUAAAGUUUCAUCCUUGUCUCCUUCUCUGCACCCUUUUAUAGGAACAUCAUUCAGAAAAGGCAUAGUCUUUUCCGGAAUAAAAUCUCUCAAUACCUUAUUCAUCCCAUUCAUCAUAUGCGCAACCGAGUUGGUCGCGCCUUGAGGAAGAGUGCACAUUCUAACCAAUCCAAGCGGUGUCCUCAUCGUUGUCAUAUCUCUACUUCCUUCGGCAAGUUGAAAUUGAUCAUAACCUGAAUACAAAUCACCCAUUGAAUAGAUCGCCCUUCCAGCAAACGCCUCAGCAAAUUCAUCCACAAUAGGUCCAAUUCAUGCAUUCCUGACAGUUACAGCAUUCACCGGCUGCAUAUCUUGAAUAAACCGUAGUGACCCAUUCUUCUUAGGUACCGUAAACCAUCGACUAGAAUACGGCGCAAAUGAAGGUUCUAAUAUUUUCAUCUUUAUCUUUUCUUUUAAUAGUUCGACCAAUUUAGGUAAAUGUGCCCUCGGUACUGGAAUCGGUCUUAGAUUCCAAGGUACAUGCGGUACAGUGAAGAUAACCAUAGGUGUUAUAAUAUUUGGAUCCACACACCCAAUUUCAUGAGAUUUGAAGGCAAACGAUCUACCUUGUUUAGCCAACAUCUUUUUGAAGCAAGUAAUUUCCUCCGGCAAUAAAGAACCAUCAGAACCAAUCUUCAAUUCUUCAAAAGUUUCUUCAGUAAACUGAUGUCCAAUACUCAUUGGAUCUCUUAAACUUGCUUCUUUUGAUGCUUCUCCCAUUUGUUCUUUAGAAUCCUCUGGUAAUGGUCCGGCAACAGGCUUUACCUUCUUAUCUGCCGUUUUAUAUCUCGUCUCUACUGUGACUUCUAGUGCUUGAAAAGAUUCAAGCAUGGUAUAAACCUCUCUCAAAUGAAUCUCAACAAUCUUAUCAUUAUCCCCUAACCCAAUAGAUGUAAUCAAUUCCAAUGAAUCUUCCAGCCCAUUUUCUUCAUAAACACCCAAAAUCCUCUCAUCAUCUUGCAAUGUACCUAUCUUGCGUAAUUAUCCUUCAAUAUCAUAUAAUCUUUUUUUUUCUUUUCUUUUAAAAUCAUCAACUUUCUUAUACAUAAUAUUUCCAUUCUCCAAUAUACCAAUAAAACUCGCAUCAAAGGCACCUUCAUCUCGCGAGAGUACCUCCUCUUUUGUACCUCCAUAAUCUCGCUUUACAGUGGUACCUCCCCAAAAUCCUUAAAUCCUUCAACAUCUUUGGCAUGGUUUCUCCCUCAACCUAUCUCGAUUCCGUUCAUGGUUAGGAGGUACUGUUAGAAAUUGUACAGCUUUCCUCCCAUCUUCGCUCCGUACCCUUGCAUAAGGAGAACCAUCGUCAAGUACCUUUGUUUCCAUCCGUGUUGCCGUGAUAUAAGGUUGUCCUAAAAUCAACGGAUAAGACGUUGUAUCUUGAACGAAGAAAUGUUGCUCCGUCGCAACAUCCCCAAUCCGAAUUUUGACAUCUGGAUAAGCUCCAUAUACUUCGCCUCGUGUGUUAUUAGUUGCUCGUAUUGCCCAUCCAUGUUCCAUAUCAAUUGGCCAUUUUUGCUUCUUAUAAAGAUCUUUAGACAUGAGAUUUAUUUCAGAACCAUGGUCCACCAAGGCAACUAUUGGUUCUUCUAUAUCUCCUACCUUGACCAAUACCUCAGUAGUUGCCCUUGUCCAAUGCUUUUGAGUAUAAUGGCUCAAAGUUUCCAUUUCCUUGUCACUAGAAUCUUCGAAACAUACUCGCUGAUUAUACCCAUUCUUUUCAUUUGUUGGUUGCUUGUAACCAAUAUCAACCUCUUCUUCAUCUCUACAUAUUCUUGCAUCAAUAGCAUGACUCAUUCCAGUUUUGCUCAUUAAUUGCCUCUUUCGCUUAAUGCUAUCAAUGAUAACAUCAUGAAACUCCUUCUUUGCAAUUCCCAAGACUUCUUUCAAUGUGAAUUCCACCUUAGCAUUUAAUAUACGUUCUUCCAACACCCCUUUCAAAUUUGUUGCCGCUUCAAUGUCAGAAAGUAGCUUAUAAGCAAUUGAUUUGCCCUUAUCUUUUGUCUCCGUUGUUUUUUCUCCCAAUGAUACUGAGGUAUCCUUUACAGGCAAUUCUUGUGAAGCUGCCUCCCGAGCCUUGUCUCCUCGAGUUUGCCUCUUAAAAGAAUUUCCUUCUCUAGUAUCAUCAAAAUUUCCUCGUCUUUUUUCUUCCAUCAAAGCUUCAUGUUGGCUCUUAGCAAUAUAUGCAUGAACUGAAAGAGACUCAACAAGAUCCUCCCAACCUGUUCUUCCUCGUAUUGUAGCUGCAGUUCUCAAUAACGCUUCUCGAGGUAAUUUUCCUUCUUGCAUUGUAGAAACGGCAGAAGCCCAAAACUCACUAGUUUCCGUACUUCCACCAAUUUCAUCAUCUACUUUAGCACCAUAACUUGUACUUUCUCGUACUACUGUUUCAUGUUCUUUUAAGUAAUCUUGAACCAAUGCUCUCAUUCCUCUCUUGCCAAAAUUGGUUUGAAGAAGAUCCUCUCUAUCUUUCAAUGCUAUCUUCCCAUCUUUCCAGCAAAUAAUUCCCUGCCAUAUCAUAUUAUUAAAUUCAUUGCAAUCUUUUCUAGUGUGUGAAGCAUCAUCACACCAAAUGCAUCUUUGUACAUAUCCUUGUUUUGAAACAUUCUUCGAAUUGUUUAUAGAAGUAUUCUCUUCAAGUCUUGUCAAUUUGAUUUGAAGAUCUCGCAUUCCUCGUAUAAUUUCUUCCAUACCCAUAUCUGCUUUCUUUGAUAAGGAUGUCGAAGGUUGAACUGUAGGCAUUGUCGGUGGUGUUGUACGUAUUGGAGCUUUGGAUGCUUGUACUGUUUUCGGACUAUUGCUCCUAUCCUUCCUCCUUUCUUUUUUUGUAAGCAACCCCACUGCAUCUUUCACGUCCUUCCACUUCGUUGUCAANNNNNNNNNNNNNNNNNNNNNNNNNNNNNNNNNNNNNNNNNNNNNNNNNNNNNNNNNNNNNNNNNNNNNNNNNNNNNNNNNNNNNNNNNNNNNNNNNNNNACUUUGUUCGGCUCCAAUGUCAAUUUUUCUACCUUCGAUAAUUGAGAGUACUGCCUCUCAAAUUCCCUUAGUAGCUCUGUUGCUUGCAAAUUCUUAUUGGGCCGUUCAAUCCAUCCCAGAAACAGCUUCUUAGUAAUGCAAUCAGCAUCUUCCAAGAAAUAUUCGUCUUUCAAUGCAUGUAAAAAAUCCUCCCAUGAAUUCCCACAACGAUCCGUAAUCGAUGUAAUGUGGUCCCUUAUCUCCGGUAUCGUGGCAAGUCCAAAUAGUGCAACCAUUUUCUUCUUAGAAACCCGAUUUAAUUCCAUUUCACGAACAUAACAUCUUAAAUACCUUGAAAUAUUCCUCCCAUCAAAUUGAUCAAUUUUACUGACCACUGCUUGCAAUGCUUUGGUUGCCAAAGCUUCCUUUCGAUCAUUGCUUUGCUGUUGCUGCAUUGACAAUGAGAAGGCUUGAAACAAACUAGCAAUAGAUGGAUCCAUGUGCAUACCUUGUCCUUUAGAAGACUCCCUACCAGAAACUUCUCCCAAAAAUCCUUCAAAAUUUUUAUUUUCGUUUUCCAUAAAAAUAAAGAUAAAAUCAACCGAAAUCCAAUACCUUCUACCUCAAGCUUUCACGUCGGGUUCACCACUUAUGUCGUAUUACGUGCUUUCCUGCUCGAGAACGCGCCGGGCGUCUGGCUGUAGAAGGUAGUAUAGAGAUUUGCCGAUAGUCAAGCAGUCUAUCAGUUUUUGACUGCUGGAAUAUAAACGACUGCAACAAUGUACCGUAAAUCUAUACGAAUGCUCUUCGACUGCUUGUCGAAAUCUUCUUCUUUUUUUUUUCUUUUUUUUUUUUUUUUUCCAACCGAUAGGUCUCUAGACGUUACAGAGAACCCCGAACAACCCAAACUGUUAAUCUUCAGUACCCCUUUGUACUUACAAUCUUGUAUCCACUGACUGUCUUGUUAGAUUAACCCAAUAAAUUUCAUUCACUCCGCAUACUCAAUCCUAUAGACACCCCUUUAAUCCUUCAAUCACAGACGUAACUCGAUUUUACAAAACAGUCAAGAGUAUUCAAAUCCACUUCAUUUAAAAAUCCCGAUUCACCAUUACAACACUGACUUCAGCAACGAUUGCCUCAGUCUUCCCAAAACUCUACGAAGAAGAAAAAUCCAAAUUCUAUGUCUUUCCUUCCCCGACCCGAAGCAUGAAGCUCCUCUCUCUAAUUCCCUUGAUCUUCCAAAAACCUCCAGUGAAAAACCGAACUGGUAACCUUGCAAAAGCUUGAAAACUCGCUCCCCUCCCGAUUCCCCCGAAAAAAAACCUCCCCCCUCAAAACUAUAUCCCCCCCUAACCUUAUCCUCUGAAUUUCUUCAAUCUUCUGUCAUAGAUCCGGAAUUGGCUCCCACCUCAAGCUUGGAUCCGAAAUUGGCUCUCGCCGUCAAGCUUUCUCCUCCGUUUUUACCUUUAAGAAAUCCAUUUACCGAAAACAACGUUCCCUGAAACGGCACAAAGAACAGGACAGCCUGAAACAGAAUCGAACCCCGUAAUCGGGACCACAUUGAGUCGCCCGACCAAUUCAGGUCCUAUAUUGGGAAAGAUGCCCGUAGUAACCUGGAUGUUCCCGUAAUUGGGUCAAAUUGGUCCUCGCGUCAGAUUGGCUAAGACCCGUAGUAAGACCUGGAUUUUCCGUAAUUAGACUGCAUUGGGUUGACCGGCCAAUUCAGGUCUCAUAUUGGAUAAGAGGACCUGGAUUGGAUUAUCGAAAUUGGAUCCAAUUGGCUCCUCGAACCCGUCGUAUGAAUUGGUCCUUCUCUUCCUGCUGACUCCCGUUAUUGGAAUCGAACAGAGCAUUUCAGUAUGCCCUGGUUGACUGUAACGGAGUGACUGAACCUGACCACUCAGUAUUUGUACUGGAGUUGGUUGAUGCUCCCAAUAUUCGAGGUAACUGAAUAUUAAUAAAAUUCCCCUUUCUUUUUAUUUUCACUGUAUACUCGUGUUACAACACGACAAUGCGUACCAUCAAACUUAUCCGGAAGGCUAACUCGGGGCUCCUUAUGUUGUAGAACCAGCGGUGCUUGUCGAACCUGAGGCAAAGUUGCUUCUCCAAGUGCAUAAGUUUGAGGCUGGUGCAACCUAGAUUGUGCCAUCCCAGAUGCUCCAUCAUUAUGAAGCCUUGCCACGGCUCCUUCAAUCUCUGCAGUUCUUUGCAAUAACGUAGCGAGGGCAUUCAUGAUAGCAUUCAACUUAGACUCUGAACUUUCCGUCAUACUAAUGUCUUGGCCCCCGGCCAUUCUAAGAGAACGACAGAAAUGACUCUACAAGAAGACAAUAUUGGUUUAGAGGAGGGUACUUCGCAAUCUCUAAAAUGCCUUAAAAGCUUCAAGAAAAAGAGAUAAUCCACUCUCUCCAAGAAGAAUAAGAUUCCAAUAUUGUAACAAAAGAAGUAUCAGUUUAGAGGAAGGUAAUCCGCAACCUCUAAAAUGCUAGUACACUUCCAAGCAAAGGGAUAAUCUACAUUCUAACAAAGAAGAAACUAGCUCUGAUAUCUAAGGUGAGUGCAGUCUCGACAAACUAUCACGGACACAGAAAUACAGACUCGAGAUCUAACAAGAAGUUCAAGAGGAAUUGACAAGAACUAGAUUAAUCACAUGAGAACAACACCAGAGAGGUGAGCUAGAACUCCAAGAGGUGUGUUGUCGAGACUCAAGAACUCUUCAGCCUCGAUUCCAAUAUAUACUUCUAUUUAGGAAGCUUCUCAAGCAACUUCUACCAACUAGGAAGCUUCUAGAAGGUUCCAAAGACUUGCUUCUAGAAGGUUCUAGAAACUUAUUUCUAGAAGGUUUCUAAGGACUAUGUCUCUAAUAUCUUCUACCAACUAAAAGCUUCUAGAAGGUUCUAGAGACUUGCUUCUAGAAGGUUCUAGAAACUUGUCUCUAGAAGGUUCUAAGAAUUAUGUCCCUAACAAUACCUUAACAUCUUUUUCUAUGCAAAAUUAUAACUAUUUGCCAAUAAAUUUGUUUUCCUAUAAGUUCAAAGAAAAUCCAUAAUCUUCUUAUAAAUAUCCAUCUUUAUAUCGUAAUUUUUCUAUAGCUCUAUAUCUCCAUCAUAAACAUAUAUAUAAAGCCUUAGGUCUGAAAAACCCCUUUAGUUUGCAUAAAAUAUCCAAAUUAUCGCAAAAUCCUUUCAAAAUAUUUUUCUCCUGUAAAAGAUUUUUUUCUCUUUAAACUUUAAAAAUUCAUAUCUCUCGAUUAAAUUUUUUAUUUUUUUCAAAUUUCUAGAUAAUAUAGAAUUCAAUCUUAAAUUUUAUCACAAAAAAAUAAAUUAUAAAUCUUUUAUAAAUUUUCUAAUAUUUUAGAAACCCUAGUAAGUACUUUAAAUCGUAAUUUAUAAGCAUCCAAAGUUUAUUUUCUUCAUAUUUCAAAAAUCAAAACUCCAAAUAUUAAAAAAUUUAUGUAUAAAAUUUAUUAACAUAAUAAUAUAUAUUUUUAGAGAAGAUUUUUGAUAAGGUGUUAUUACUUUGUCAUGAUAUCAAGACUGCUCAUUUUAUAACAAGUUGGACUAUUAUAAGCUUAGACCUUUUUUAUUUGUGAACAAAUUAAUCUUUUUAUUUAUUGAUUAUAUCUAUAGAAUUCUAUGAAGAUCCAUUUCUUAUUCCAUAUAUCUCUUUUAGAGCCAUAUAAGACAGUGAAUAUUUCAACAAGAAGACAAAAGCCACCUCUUAUAGAAAUAGAUAAUAAUCAAAAUUUUGAAGUGGAAGAAGUCUUAAAUUUAAGGCGGCGUUAAAAUAGAUUGAAAUAUAUUAUUCAUUAAAAAGGAUAUGAUAUUAUUGAAUGCACAUGGAAGCCAAUAAAAUAUCUUACAAAUAUAGCAAUUGAGUGUUGUUUUUUAUUGAUGACAUCCAUCAAAAUCAAGAUCAAGAAAAACAAGAUCCAUAAAGAAUGAUGAUUUCUCUUUGAAAAACUCAUUCCUAAAAAGAAAGAUAAUGUUAUGAAUAUAUGUAUUUAUUCCAAUAAUUACCUAUAUAAUUUGGUAGAAGUAUAUAAAUAUAAAUUAAUUUCAUAAUUUUUUAAAAAAACUUCUUGAAAGCUUCAAAGAUAUAACUUUGAUUCUUUAUGUGUUUGUAGUUGAUUGAUAGAUUAGAAACUUGAUCAAUAAAUUAAUCACAUGUCACAUGUGCUAAUAACUUGUGAAACAAGUUAAUUAUAUAGUGCACAUAUAGAAAACUUUCCUUGCAAGUUAAGACAUGUGUCUUGCAAAGUUAACACAUGUUGGAGGUCUUAUAGAACAUUGUCAUGUAGCUCCUAGUUAGAUAGUAUAUAUGGAUGCAAGAGUGAAGCCUUAUUCACUCUUAUCAAUGCCUUUUUAAUCUUUAGUCUCAUUUUAAGACUUUUUAAUCUUCUUAUCUUUGGCAAUAAUCAUUCUAAUUCAAUAUAUUACCAUCUGUGAGUAAUUUUUUAGUCUUUUUGAAUGACACAAGGGUGUAUUGAGGAUUUCUUUCUUUAAGAUUCAUAUCUUUAACAAGAAAAUACUAGAAACAUUUAGCAAAUAAGAUUGAAUAUUAGUUUGAGUAUCACAAAUAGACUAUAUAAAAGAUCAAACAAGAAGUUGAACAAAAGAAUUUUAAGAAGAAAGAUACUAAAAACUUGAUUAAACCAAAUAAGUACAAGAUUAAUAUCAAGAAGUGAGUUAGAGCUUUAAAAAAUGUGUUAUUAAGAAUGUAGAUCUUGUUAAACUUAAUUCCAAUUUAUACUAAGUAUUAGCAAGCUUUUCAAAAAAUUUAAUUUUUGUUUAAAGACAAAAAAAUUCUAAGAAGCUUCUAAAAAUGUUUUUAUGUUGCUUAAAGAUGAAACAAUCCUAAAAAUCUUCUUGGACAACUUUUUUAAUCUUCCAAAAACUUUUUAGAAUUUUUUUAAAUAUUUAAAGAAUCUUUUUAAUUUUUUUAGAAUAGUUUAGAAAUAUUUUUAAAAUAUUCUAUUAAAAUAUAUUAAAUAUCUUUUAAAAUUUUAUAAAAUAUUUAAAGAAUAUUCUUUAAAUCUUCUUUUUAGAUGUCUAUAAUAUCACCUCUCUUUCUAACUCCAAGUUCUACAAGCAUUGGUUUUAUAUCUACAAUAGAAUGACAAAAAUUAUACAACUUUUUUUAAGA